rnacentral:lncRNA from 1 species
CACUGCCUUGGCCGUCGGCUGUGGCGGCGUGGUUUACUACCCUAAUGGCGCUGGACAGCCCUACGCUUAGCAGGACGAGGAGGGCAACUGAUAGGAUCAGCUUGGUGGUAGCCAUGGCGAGGCGAUGCUAGAUUGCUGCAGCAGAAGAAGCAAGCUAGCUUGAUGAAGUGAGUGAUGAUCGAUCGGGAGCCCGUUACGUGGUAAUUUAUAGCCCCGGGUUAUGGUUUUAAAUUAGCAUGCAUGUUGAGCGUGCGUGAUUAUUAUUACCCACUGAAGAUUAUGGAAGAUUUUGCUGAGUUGGGCCUAUUAAUUACUGGGCUGAUACGUAUCUUUUGCAUCUAAGUGCGAUUGGUGUGACGCUAUCUUUCAGGUGAUCAGCCUUGUCAGGAGGGAAUUGAAGUCGCUGUAAUAUAAGCACUGUCAUCGGCCUCUUGAUCGAUCACCUGUAGUACGUUCCUCACUUCCACUCAAGUCGCAAAACAAGUGAACGUUAAUUCGAUCAUCAACAAAGGAGUACUCAACAAAGGAGAUGCGCAACCGAAACCGCAAAACAUAGCCCCCAUCCAGCUGCCGACAAGAGUAAGAACUAACAUAAAAUCGAAAUAAGUAAGGAGUAGUUAAGAAACACACCCCUAUCCCUCGCAAAACACACACACCCACACCACUAUCUCAUACUAUAUGAUGUAACGGUUCUUUAUAUUACUCCCUCCGUAUCACAAUAUAUGACGUUUUAGGAGUUCGUUUGAGCUGCUAGAACAUCAUAUAUUAUGAGACAGAGGUAGUACUACCUAUCAAUGAAAAGAUACACAAUUCUUUGGUUAUUGACGAAACUUAGCGACUUUUCUAGGCCAUAACCCAACCACCAGGAGGCCCAAUAUCCAACUUGUUUGGUACCCACAUGUACACGGUACAUCACAUAUUUGCGCAAGCAAGUCCAGUUCCCACCAACCAUGAGCUCUGAGGCCUGGUCUAGUUUGUACCGCAAAGUUAUUACAUAUGUCUACAUUACAAAAAGGUGAUCAGAUCUGGCUAUAGUAAGAAAGAAUAGGUAUCAUCUCAUUUUUGUGAAAUGUCGGAGUACAUGGAAUGCCGAGCUAACUAAACAUAUUUUUCAUCCAUUCAGUGUUCAAGAAAUAUGCAAUACAUGGUUCAAUGUGUCUAUGGAUGCUACUGUUGCGGGUGACCAAACUAGAGAUAUAUAUACUCGUUUACGAUGAAGGGGUACUUUGAUGCACAAAAAAAAACAAGAGUGGAAUUGAGCGCACUGAUAGAUCUCUUCGUUCAUGGUGGUCGACGAUAAACAGAGAUUGUCUAAAGUGGUCGGCGACAGUGACAUCGGUUGACAAGAUAAACCCAAGUGGAACAAAUGAUAGAGAUAGGGUAAGUGCAAUUUCUUUAUAUUCCAUGUUCAUGCUUCAUCUUUUGUGUUUGAAGAGGUAAAUUAUUCUUCAGUUCAACCUUUGUUGGGAUGCAUGGGAGUUAUCAUGGGAAGCAUGGGAUCUACCAUGGGAGGCUUCAAAGGCAUGGGAGGGGGGCUUCGGAGUCAUGAGAGCUACCAUGGUAGGCUUCAGAGCUAUCAUGGGUGGCUUGGGAGCUACCAUAGGAGGCGUGGAAGCUAUCAUGGAUUGCAUGGGAGGCAUGAGAGCUAUCAUGGGCGGCAUCAGAGGCAUGGGAGCACGUACGAGAGGCAUAAGUUUUGCAUCUCUCAUGGAAGGCAUGGGAGCACCUCGCAUGAUGUCUCACAUGCCCUCGCAUGAUGCCUCACAUGCCUUUGAGGAUAAUGCGAACAACGUACGAGGUUUAAAUGACACUGAGGUGUCUGAAGAUGAUGAAGAGGAGGAGCACGAGAAGGAAGAAGAGGAGAAAGAAGAUGGAGCAUGAUUCUUGAUGUUUCAUUCGUUUGUGUGAACUUAUUUGUCAUGAAUUGUUUGUGGUUAGAUAAAUUUGAACUAUGCUAUCUUGUUCAACUCAUCAUUAAUUUUGCAAAUUUAAAUGUUCAAGACCAUGUUAUUUAAAUUGUCAAAAAAUGAUAUGUGAUAUUUCAUAUGUGCCAAGCCGCGGCUGGGCGCGUGUGCUGUAUUUUAGCACGUCUGGUGAAGCGCUACUGCGACGUCCUAAGUUUUGCAGCACCUGCUAAGCUAUCACAUGUUCGCACGUGCUAAAACGCUAUUUCAGCGUCUAAAUUUUCUUUUAGCACGCCGCGCUGGAAAUGCUAUUAGUCUCUUUUUUCCAGAGAGGAAGGUAGUCUCUGCUAAUGUUCAAUUUGAUAAAACUAUGGGGUUUCCCAACUGAUAAACCUGUAAAUUUAUUUUGUUUUUGUUUUUCACCAGUGGAAGCAUAUUUGAGUUUUGCCUUCGUACAUCCCCUUUAAACAUUACACGAAUUUGAAAGUUACUUAAAGAGAUUAUCACCAUAUUAGCCUGCAAAUUCAAUGUAUUGAAUAUAAAUUUUGAUACAAAAGACUAUAUUAUCCUUUUUGAUUGAAAAAUGAUAACUUCUAAUCCCCACCUCUCGUAUUCGAGAGAGGGAAAAAGAUCCUUACGCCUAAUUGGGGUGUACCAAAGCAAACACUAGUAGAAAAAAGGGCUUUCGUCCCGGCUCGAUUUACACAUUAGUCCUGGUUCCAUUAUGAACCAGGACUAAUGUUAGCAUUAGUCCCGGUUCGAGUAGCAAGGACGCCGGUCAGGCAUUAGUCCCGGUUCAAAUGGGACCUUUACUCCUGGUUCGUGUCUUGACCGGGACUAAAGGGUUUGGAGGCUUUAGUCCCGGUUCGUGUCUUGAACUGGGACUAAAGGGUAGAUCUUUCGUCCCGGUUCGAGACACGAACCGGGACUAAAGUUUUUUUUCUAUUUUUAAAUUUUUUUUUUUUGUAGUUUCUGUUUUGAAUUGGUUAUAUCUUUUAGGAUAUUUAAUGUUUUUGAGUGAUUCUUUUUGCAUUAGAUUCAAAAUUUUGUCUAGUUUCUAUUUGUGUCAUUAGUUUUCGAAUUUGAAUUUGUUCAAAUUUGCUUCAAACCCAAAUUGUGAAUAACUUGAAUUUACAAAUCGUUUUUUAAUUUAAUUAUUUUUGCUCCUAGUCAUCUGUUAUAUUGUUGUCACAGUAAGAUUUAUUUGGUUAUUUUUCGAAUACUUUAAAUUAGGAUUUUAAUUAAAACAAUACUGUUUUGCUUAUAUAGUUGUUUUAGUCAUUUAAUUGAUGUUUUUUAUUAUUUUUAGUUAGUUCUUUCUGUAGAUUUUAACAUGUUAUAGUAUGGUGCAUAUUGAAUGCAUAAAAAGUAUGUAGUUAAAAUAAUUUUAAUAAAAUGCCUUUGUAGCUGAUGGGUUUUCGUUCGAAAACUUUAUACUUCGAAGGAGAUGAUCCAGUUUGUACACGAUGUGCGUCCAGUUUUUGUCGUAACUCUCUCAACUUUUUAGCACAUGUCAUGUGGGUGAAAUGAUGAUACCAUGCAAACUUUCAACCUUUUGAGAGUUCAUUUGUAGUGCUUUUCAAUUUCAGGGUCAAUUAGCUCACAAAAAAUAAGUAAAUGCAUAAAAAAAAUACCAAAUGAAGUCAGAAAAUGUUGAAAAUUUAUGAUGUGGCUUUAAAUGGUGUAUUUUGAACACACAAAAAGUAUGGAGUUCAAAUAAGUUCAAAAAAAUGAAAUCCCUCUGCAAGAGAUGAGUUUUCGUUCGAAACCCUGAUACUUCGAAAGAGAUUGUCCAUUUUGUACACGAAGUGCAUUCAGUUUUUGUCAUAACCCUCUCAACUUUUUAGCACAUGCUAUGUGGGUGAAAUGAUGAUAUCAUGCCAAGUUUCAACCUUUUCAGAGUUCAUUAUUAAAUGCAUGAAAAUAGCAAAUGAAGUUAUAAAUGAUGAUGAUAUUAAAUGCAUGAAAAUAGCAAAUGAAGUUAUAAAUGGUUAAAAUUUUAGGAUGUUGUUUUGAAUGGUGCAUAUUUAAUGCACAAAAUGCAAAAAACAUAUGGAGUUGAAAUAAGUAAAAAAAAAUGCCUUUGUAGCAGAUGGGUUUUCGUGCGAAACCUUGAUACUUUGAAGGAGAUGGUCCAGUUUGUACACGAAGUGCAUCCAGUUUUUGACGUAACCCUCUCAACUUUUUAGCACAAGCUAUGUGGAUGAAAUGAUGAUACCAUGCCAAGUUUCAGCAUUUUCAGAGUUCAUUAUACUGCUUUUCAAUUUCAGGGUCAUUUAACUCAGCAUAGCAAAUAAAGUUAUAAAGGGUUAACUUUGGCUUGGUUAACCUUAGUUGUGACUCUGGUGGGGACGGUGCUAGCAGAUGUAGUCCACGAGUAUGAUUGGACCCUUGGCUAAAAGGGGAUUCUGAAAUUUUCAAACUCUACCCCCCCCCAUGGACCGUCUUUUUUAGUUUUGUAGAAAAUAAACAAAAAUAAUAAAAUCUUCAAAAAAUAAAAUCCUUUGAGAUGUAGUUAGCUUUUAGUGUCUAGUUGGUAUAGAAAUUUUGAGAUAUGAAUUUUGACCUUUUUGCAAAAAAGGAAAAAAUAUAUAAAACGGUCAUAACGUUUGCAUACGACGUGAAAAAAAAGGUUUAAUAUAUCAAAAAAAAAACUAGAGAAAAAUUGGGACUCGAUUUCUUUUUUUUUUGCCUGGUGAAGUUUUCUCAGAUGCUCAAAAUUCCAAAUGUAAAAAGGUUAUUUCAAAAAGAAGUUUUUCCAGAAAAAUAAGAAAAAAUAAUUUUAUUUAAAAAUAUUAUGUUGUUUUCAUUGAAAUUCAUUAUUAUUAUUACCUACAUAGUUUAUUUUAAUAAUUGUUUGAAUUUAAAAAAUUAAAUCAUGUGACAUGACAUCAAGACACGAGGUUGUUUAGGAUUGAUAGCUUACUAUUGUCAGGAAAACAACAAGUGCAGACUUGGCAACUAGGGGUGAUAGAACCAGAAAGUUAAGACGAUUUGGAAUGAGUGAUCCACGCUAGAGCAGUGAGGAUGGGUGAUUAGAGAUUAAAUUGUGAAAUAAUUCAAAGAUUUAAAAACUGAAAUAAAACAUAAAAUUAAUCAAAAAAAAUUAAAAAAAAAUUAAAAAACCUGUCUUUUCGGGUCAAACAAGCAAAAUAAACAGACGGAUUCUUUAGUCCCGGUUCGUAACUAGAACCGGGACUAAAGGUCCUCCCUCCCCCUCGCUCCCAGUCCCGCCACGUGGAGGGCCAUUAGUACCGGAUGAUUAGUCCCGGUUCCUGAACCCGGACUAAUAGCCCAAACGAACCGGGGCUAAAGGUACUUUUUCUACUAGUGAAAGUUAAACAUGCAUUUGUGCAACACAAACGGUAUUGAUAAUGGAUGGAAGCACCAAUUAUAUUUUUGUCGUGUAUAGAACCAUACUGCUCAUGUUCGCAAUUCACAUGAUGGAAAUGGUUGUUGGGACCGGUAAAGACAACAUCCCUUUGUAAUAUAUUCACAUGAUGAAUUGUGUUGAAGGGACUAGUUCCACGCCUUAUCAAGCUAGCUUCCUCGUGCUUCGUGGAAAUCAUAGACGAGUUACACGCCUGAUCAAGCUAGCUCCUCGCCGGUGCUAUGGCACACAUGGGGUGGUGGGACAUUCGACGACACUGGAACAUCAUAGGCAUGUACGGGAAACAAAGAAGCAUUCGGUCUAGCAGAAGAAAACGUCUGUAAAAUAGAUAUUGCUAAAGUGUAUUUCUGGAUUGCCUGGUCCCUUUCAUGAGUUAUGUUGCUGCUCCCCCUACUGCCACUGUUGGUGCUUGCGUUAUGAUGUUGUUUUGCCUACUCCCGCUGGUGGUGUUGUUGUUCCUAAUUGGGCCUGGUCACUACCGAAUAUACAUUGACGAAAAAGGAUUUUUCUUCGUUUUGUAUUAUUAUUAAGCAACCGCAUCAAGCAUCCAACAGUAUCAGAAGUUUAGUCGAAAGAAAGGUAAUAGUCAUGACAACAAGAAAGCAAAACAAGUCUAGCUAGGAGCACAACACAGCAAACCCCUAUGAAAGAGCUGCAUGGCUAAUCCGUCUCAGGAGGUGGUGGCGGAGACGCUGGCGGGAUGGAGAUCGUCCGGGAGCGGAGGCCGGAGGUGACGACGUCGAUGAAACCCUACUGCCAUCACUUGCUACGUGGCCGCCAUAGCUGCAAGAAGCGUUGUGGAAUCACAUGCUCGAUUACUAAUUUAUUUCACACAUUCCACAGCGUCCAGUACGGCACCUAUAGCCACCCAUAUGGAUGGGCGGGUCUCACAUGGGGAGUUAAGGACCUCGCUAAAUAAGUCCGGAAGGUUAUCAUGGAACUAGUUACCGCCCACUACAUCCUGGGGGCAUCUCAAAGGAAGACCAUAGUCGGACACCGAAAGAAGAUGUGGUUGGUGUCCUCGGACACCCCGCGAAGUUGAUACGUUUUCGCACACAACAGGACGCAGUGGCAACUAUCUAGAGAAGAACAAUGCAAGAAAACCGAAGUCUCAUGGUCAGGUAUGUUAACAUCAUACACAUGAUUAAUAAACUAUCUACUGAAUUCAUUCACCAUGGGGAUGUAGCUCAGAUGGUAGAGCGCUCGCUUAGCAUGCGAGAGGUAUGGGGAUCGAUACCCCACUUCUCCAAUCUCAUUUUUUUUAUUUUCUGCAUAUCCCAAUAUUAUAUACUGUUGAAAAAAAAGACUAUCUUAACUUCACUUACGUAUUCCAAAUCUCCCCAUAAAUGCGCAAAUUCCUUCUACAUGUAAAAGAAUCUCAUUUUUUUUUAUUUUCUGCAUAUCCCAAUAUUAUAUACUGUUGAAAAAAAGACUAUCUUAACUUCACUUACGUAUUCCAAAUCUCCCCAUANNNNNNNNNNUGCAGCACUGUCUUAACUUCACUUACGUAUUCCAAAUCUCCCCAUAAAUGCGCAAAUUCCUUCUACAUGUAAAAGGGAAAUCAGAAAGCUUGCGCACAAUCUGUGCUGCAAACUGAGGCGCAAUAGUAAUCACAUGGCAAGAGUAAAAUGUCACCAUCAUGAUUUUAUUAAGGUAAAUUUUUACAUCCGGCACACCGGCCAAACUUUGAGUCGGAUGCGUGCGGGGUGUUCGACCGCUCUAUCGUGCGGGCAUCCAGCGACGGAGGCACCCCUCAUGGAUAUAAAACUAGGCGAUGGGACCACUCUGCCUCCAAUUGUUUUUCCUUCAUCUUCUUCUUCCUCAUGAAACGGACCCCAAGGGCACUUGCACCACCAGGCCCCGGCCACACCAUCAGCACGCAAGUCUCCGGCCACAAGGUUUCAAAAUGUCUAUCGUCGAGGUCGCAGCUUUCCGUCACCGUACCGCUCGUAGCACGCGGUCACCACAGUGGUAGCAAAAAGCGCACCGCUUAUAGCAAAUCGUUGUCGCCGCGGUCACCCACGUCACCGCUCGUCGUACGUCGGUUGCACCACCGCACACUGGUUACAACAAACUCAGUCGCUGGUGGUAGCUUUUCUCAUUGUCGUUUGCAACAAAUUCGUAACCAGUCAUUGCCGGCCACACUUCAUCAUCUCCCUGGUUGUAGCAAAAAUGGCCACUGGUUGUAGCUUUCUACGAUGCCCGUUGCAAUAAAAUCAUUGAUAAAAAGCUUCAACCAGUGUAUGAAAAGCUUCAACCAUUAAAAAAACUUUAACUUUUUUGCGGGGAAAAAGCUUCAAUUGCCAUGGAAAAAAGCUUCAGCCCAUGAAAAUAGUUUCAACCAUCGUGAAAAAAGCUUCAAGCGAUAUAAAAAAGCUUCAACGGAUAUGGCAUGCCGACGAUGUUGCGAGCAACGAGACCGGGGAGCUAUGGGCCGACGGCAUGACAGUGCUGCAUCACCACCGAGCAACAACCUGUCGCCACGUGGAGCGGCAAUGAGAAGGUGCAACUGUGGCAUGGGUGGAGCCGGGGACGAGGGCGACAACAGGCGACGAGGACGGCCGGCCAUGACACCGACCGGCGACGAGGACAUCACGGUGGUGCUUCAAGCUCAGUCGCUUUCUUGCAGGGGUAUGGCGGGGUGUCCGCGGCAUUCAUGCCGUUGUAAUUCUUCCUGCGGAAGACGACUCGCAAGAAGGACGAAGCGGGGGGACAAACCUAACGAACAAAAAUCGCUGCAUCGGAGGGUUGGGACUCGACCUCCUAAUUGUUAAGCCGGCGCACCGGCGGCUAGUGUUGCCCUUUUAUUAACCAUCUGUACUGUAGAAAAAAGAAAAAGUAAAAUGAUAUCCGAAGUCACGGUUAGAACAUUCCAGAAAAGAAGAGAAAAAAACUCAUCUACAGCCAACCAAAUUUGUCCGGUCAAUCAAGUCUCACCAAUUAAUGCAAAAAAGAUAGAAUAAAAUUUUUUCGUACACCUAACCAUAAACCUCCAUGGCAUCUACCUUCCUUCCAAUAGUGUGUGUGCGCGUGCACGCGUGUGAUAGAAAAUGCAAAAUAGUUAUCCGACUCGAUCAAGCUUGACUUACCAAAAAAUUUAAAAUAAUUUAAAAUAUAAAAUAAUAUCAUGAUUUUUGUACAUCAGACAUAUAUAUGUGUGAAUUAUAUAAAUAUUUGUAAUGCAUAUUUUUAUUUUUGGCUACACAGAAAACAAAUAUGUGGACGAUUGCACCUACAAUUUGCUAUUGUGGAUCCGCCUUUUGUAGCGUAAAAGGCUCGCGUGGCGGUGUGUCCUUUAUCCUAUAAUUGAUACAUCGGAAUCUCUGGUAUAUGGCAUCGUACGUUGCAUCAAUUUUAUCUUCUUUAUUUUUUGCAACUUUGGUGCAAUUUGUUCAGUCGAUGCAUCUCUCGUAAGUGUAGGCUUCUUCUGAUUAUGGCUUCGCCUGCUGCUGACUUCAACCACCACCUCCUUUCUUGUUUCAUCAACACAUGCUUCUAUGAAAAAAGAAAAAGAAAAGCAGAAAGAACUAGUGAGUAAUAAUUUUGAAUCAUGGAUGUGCUAAGUUUCAAAAAGAGAGGAGGAUAUGUUGCGUAACAAAAAGUUGUGGGAAUGACUUAUACAAAUCUGCGGGGUCUGUUGAUAUUGGGGGACAUGUUGUGAGAGGAGUCACAUCAUAAACAGGACUAGCUGAAGUGGCAGGAGAAUGAUCAAACAAAGGGCUUCUCGCUUGAAUCAACAAGAAAGAGUCCAAAUCCAAACCAGAUGAUCGUAUAGGUGAAACUUGUGGUGGCUCCUGAAACAGUAAAGCAUUGUCAUUCACGGGUUCAAACUAGCCAAAUGAAGAGCCAUCUUCAAGUGUCCCUUUUUUUUUGCGAGACCAUCUUCAAGUGUCCCUGGCCUCCUAAUAAAAUUCAUGCAUGCCGGAUUGGGCUACGAGCACUAGUAGAAAACAGGGCUUUGAUUCUCACCAGAUCAAAGCAUUAGUCCUGGUUCAAGUGGCUAGGACGCCGGCCGGACCUCGGCACGCAUUAGUCCCGGUUCGAUUGGGACCUUUAGUUCCGGUUCCAGACACCAACUGGGACUAAAAGGCCUCGCUCCUGGCGCAAUUCCUUUAGUCCCAGUUGGUGUCUCCAAAUGGGACUAAAGGUCUGUCUUCAGUCUCGGUUUUAGACACAAACUGAGACUAAAAAGAUGCCUAUAUAUAUAUCCUCACCCCUGCUCUCCUUUCAUCUAUUUUUUUGGCCGUAGAAGGUGGGAGGUGUGUGUGCUGCUCUGUUCUGCCUUCCUACGCACAUGAGGUAUUCGAUGAAAUGCCCGAGUCAUAUUUAAGCUUUCUCCUCUGUUCUUCCUUCAAGCUCCAUUUUCCUCAAGAUUUUUCUAGAUUUUGCGGUGCACCAACUAUCCAAGUGUUCUAAAAGGUUAGCUCUUUUCAUAUGUUGUUUGUGACACUUACACCUGAGUAUUUAUUCCGCUGCGAGCUGUUCGUGACUUAGCAAUUUCCUCACAGGGAAAUUCCUCAGUGACGAAUUCAUAAAAAUCGUCUAUUCACCCCCCCCCCCCCNNNNNNNNNNNNNNNNNNNNNNNNNNNNNNNNNNNNNNNNNNNNNNNNNNNNNNNNNNNNNNNNNNNNNNNNNNNNNNNNNNNNNNNNNNNNNNNNNNNNNNNNNNNNNNNNNNNNNNNNUCUUCCACCAAGUAAUCCAACAAGCAUCAAUUAUAAGAUGUAAUCAACACAACUACUAACCCAAAGGUACCAAUCUGAGGUUUUGAGACAAAGAUUGAAUACAAGAGAUGUACUAGGGUUGCAUAUGAGAUGGUUCUAGUGAAUAUGAUGAUGAAGAUUAGUCCUCCCACUAAGAAGUAAGUGUUGGUGAUGAGGAUGGCUUCGAUUUCCCCCUCCUGGGGGGGAAUUCCCCCGGUGGAAUCUCCCUGUCGGAGAGCAAAAGGGCCUCCGCCUCGAGAUGGCAGCGCUUCGUCCUAAAAGGUUUCUUAUGAUUUUUUUUCUAGGUCAAAACACACCAUAUAGGAGAAGAGGAGUGACGGAGGACCUGCAGGGGCCCCACGAGCCAUCAGGACGCGCAUAGGGGGGUGGGCGCGCCCUGUUGGCUUGUGGCCAGCAGGUGGCCCCCUCUUGUUUAUUUUUUGCCCAAUAAUUAUUAAAUAUUCUACAAAAAUUCUCCAUGAAGUUUCAUAUCAUUUGGAGUCUGGUGAUUUUUCUCCCUUUUUCUCGGUUUCCCGGUAUACUUGUUUCGAGAUAUUUCCUGCUUUGUUAUGUUCCUUGCGUAUUUGAGCAUAAGAAUUGUAUGAUAAUGGGGAAUAAUUGACAAGAAUAACAUAAAUAUCCAUAAGGGGUCAUGAUGCGAAAUGGACGUAUCGGGCACAACGGCGCCGAGGCGCGCAGGUGCUCUGGCAGCGCGGGCAUGUGUAUUUACUGCGCGGGUGCCUGGGCCAUGGGGUGAGUGGUGAUGUGCGUGUUGGAGUUCUCGUCGCCGCGAGGCUGGGCUCAGGAGUGGGACGCAAGUCACGGGCGGAUCUCGUCGAUGGUUCGAUGGACGGGAGGCGGUGUGUGCUCUACUGGAUGGUAACUUGUUGUUGCGGAUGCUGCUGUGACGUGCAUAGAGGCCUUUGCCCUGGGUGGACCUCGCCCAGAACUAGAUCUUCUAGGCAGGUGGUGACGGCUGCCCCUCCGGGGGCAACCGGCCUUGUGAGGAUGGCCACUAGGGAUCUUAUCCCUGUGGGUGGCCUCCCUUGCACCGCGUCACGUCUUGCUCUCCCUAUCCUUGGUCGGUGAAAGGCUUUGUGGAUGGAUGGUUGUGGCCUGGUUCUUUGUUGGUAACGUGGUGGUUCGGCAAUGGUCGUAGGCGGUGGCUCAGGUCGCUGAUGCGAUCGUGGUUGUUGUGGCGGUGGCGGUUUGUGGUUGGUGGCAGGGUGCGGGUGGUGGAAGUGCCACACCUUCUCGUAGGUGAGAACUGAUGAUGUGUGGGUUACUUGUGCGUCGGGGAUGUUGACGACUUGGGGAUCGUGCUAGGGCAUGCCAGCUUUAAGCCUGAGAUGGGUUGGAUAUUUUGCUCCGGGUAGGUGGGGUAGGCGCAGUCUGGAUGGUGCUCGAGGGUUGUGCUCGUGUUAGCUUGUGUUAGUGCACUGAUCAACAUUGGUCACUAUGGACAUGGCGCCAUGUGAGUGCGCCUGGCCAAGGGCUCGGGGUUGGCUCGCCUGUGGCCGUCAGUAGUCUCGGAGUCGUGUCUCCCCUCCCCCAGUCCAUCGAGUAUUGGCUGAGGAUGCAAGUGUGGGUACCUCCUACAGUGGGGGCACCUAGCCAGACCCAGGGACUAAUGCCGGGCUAGGAGUAGAUGAGUGGCAUCGCUCUUUCCUGCUGCGGUUGAGUGUGUUGUGAUGUGGGCGACGCACAAUAUCUCACGACAGGGACGUCGGGGCGGCGGCUACGAAUGGUGGCCUGCAUGAUUGCUCUUCGGCGGGCAUCAUUGCGGUGGUACUAGUUGCUCCCCUCCCGGGUUGUGUGGACAACGGGAGGUUUUGCGAUGGGUAUCCCGGCUGUGCUUUCUCUUUUGAUUGGGUGGCAUCCUUAUCCAGAUCCAGGGAUACGGAUCUGGGGAUCUGACAUCAUCGCACUCCUCUUGGCGGCCACGUGGUGGCACGUGUGAGUUUUCGAGUGAAAGCUCUAUGCCUUGCGUCGAUGAUGGCAACACCCGAGGGUGUCGCGCUCUUCUUAAAUACGUCUGUGUGGUUCUUCUCUCUGUGUCACGGCUUUGGGUGAAGACCUUUGUCCAGUGUGGACACGACAGCGACGAUGCUAUGCGCCGUUCUCCCUCUUGGGGGCAUUGUCAUGGUGCUUAGGUGUGCUAGGUCGUAGUGUGUGGGUGCUUAAUUCUUUCGGUAAUCGUUGCCGGUAGCAUAGUCGCGUGUGUUUUGUGUGUGCGUGAUAUCUUAGAAUCGACUUUGUAAGAGGGCUACCACACCAUCUUGUAUUGUUCUGCUGUGUACUUUUUUAGUUAUUGCUUUAUCUAUAAAGCAGGACGAAAGCCAGUUUUGAGAGUACAUAGAUUUCACUCAGAAGAUUUAGUUCGUACAUAAUCUUCGAUGAAUAGUAUCUCGCUGGCCAGAUCCCCGAAAAGGCUAGGGUUCCUCUCCCGUCUCCCAUACCCCCCCNNNNNNNNNNNNNNNNNNNNNNNNNNNNNNNNNNNNNNNNNNNNNNNNNNNNNNNNNNNNNNNNNNNNNNNNNNNNNNNNNNNNNNNNNNNNNNNNNNNNGUAGAUGGACAUCACCAUGAUAGGUCUUCGUGCGCGUAGGAAAAUUUUCGUUUCCCAUGCGACGUUCCCCAACACAGAAACCUAUAGCAAUAAAACGACACAAUCAUUAUGCUACGUUCAUAGUUUGGGUCUUGUCCAUCACAUGAUUCUACUAAUGAUGUGAUCCCGUUAUCAAGUGACAACACUUGUCUAUGGUUAGGAAACCUUGACCAUCUUUGAUCAACGAGCUAGUCAACUAGAGGCUUACUAGGGACAGUGUGUUGCCUAUGUAUCCACACAUGUAUUUGAGUUUCCAAUCAAUACAAUUCUAGCAUGGAUAAUAAACGAUUAUUAUGAACAAGGAAAUAUAAUAAUAACUAAUUUAUUAUUGCCUCUAGGGCAUAUUUCCAACACUUAUUUCCAAGCACUGCAAUAUCUUUUAUGCUUACUUUUGUUACUUGCUACCUUGCUGUUUUUACAUUUUUAGAUUACAAAAACCUAUAUCUACUAUCCAUACUACACUUGUAUCUCCAUCGCUUUUGUCGAACUAGUGCAUCUAUAAAACUUGCCAUUGUAUUGGGUGUGUAGGGGACACAAGAGAUUUCUUGUAUUUGAUUGCAGGUUUGGUUGAGAGAGACCAUCUUCAUCCUACACCUCUCCCACGGAUUGAUAAACCUUAGGUCAUCCAUUUGAGGAAAAAUUGCUACUAUCCUCCAAAACUCUGCGCUUGGAGGGUCAACAAAGUCUAUAAGAAUAAAGUUGCAUAUUAGACAUCAGCACACUUUGAAUUCUCGCGGGGCCCCUAUGGGUCUUCUGGUACUCCCUCGAAGCUUCUUGGGCCCCGUAGUCAUCAUUUUCGACAUCAUUAUCGUGUGAAUCUGUUGAGGCGAUGAAGUCACUUAAUAGGAAUUCGUCAAGGUCAGAGUUUUAAUUGCCACCAUUCCAUAAUGAAUACAUUGGUGACCUAGAAAUAAUGAACCAAAGAACCAAAAUCCAGCUCCGACAUUUCAUCAAACACGUAGAGCGCGAGAUGUAUAUAAGGGGGGUUGGACAUACCGGGAUGGCGUCUAAUGGUGGGGAACUAAGGUGGGUGACGAUGUGGAUUGCGGCCUCCAUUUGGGGACGCCAGAUGGAGCAACGACGGGAACGGAACUCCAGUGACGGUUGUGCACACGAGGGCUAACAAAAGAUAAGAGGACUGGUGUGGCAAGAACGGAGAGGGGUGCAGAUAUGGGCGGAUUGACGCAUCCCUAGCGGUCAGUCCAACGCGGUGGGCGCGUCCGGGUGUUCCAUGCCCACCCUAGAUAUGUGACGGAUAUGGGGAGUACGAGUCAAUCCGGCGGUUUGAACCGAAUAUUUGGGAGCCUAGUUGGUGACAGUUUUUUGUCUAAAUACUGACCAGACAACUUGUCCAGAUGUUUGCGACAAAUAUGGAUCCUGAUAUACAUGCUUAGGGGUAUGUACAAAGGAAGCAUCACCUUCCUAGUGCCUCACCUCUUCCAUGUAAGAAAAAAUGGAUGGGGCACCAUUUUGUUUCUCAAACGCUCUAUACAUGAAGCUCUCCCAUCGGAUUCAUGUAUGUCAUAUGCAUCCUCUUUUAUCUGCGCUUUACAUGAACGGGAGGGCUAGCUAGUCACAUCUCUCUCUUUUUUGCCCCAUCUCUCUUAUUUUUGUCAGGCAAGAGACUACUUCUUCUACAAGAUGCCACUUUAGUCUUAGCACUAGGUUGAGCUUAGCAAAACAGUUUGAUAUGACGUAUUAUGCAGGGACAGCCAUCCACUGUGGAGCGUUGACCAUUCCCUAAGGUUGUUCAUAGUGGGGAGUAACAUAUAGUAGUAUCAUGCAUAUAUUACUAUUGUAUGCUACUACCUUCAGGCUCGUUGUAAUGGACAGUAUCAUAUAGUAGUAUCAUGCAUAUGAUACUAGUGUAUGAUACCACAACCGUAAUGCAUAGUAUCAUGUGUUAGUAUCAUAGAGUGAUUCAUUUAUUGCCAUGCAAGACAAAUAGUAGCACAUCAUUUAAUAUGAUGCGGUAUCAUAUGAUAUGAUACUCAACCCUCCCUUUCUUUAUUUAAUUGUAUGACACCUCAUCAAAAUUGCCUAGUUGACAUGCAUGAUACUAACUAUGAUACUCUAAUUACAGACAACCUCAUAGUGCAUUGUACUACCUUCGUCCAAGUAUAUAAGACAUACGCGUAGUUCUAGGUUAUAAAUUUAUCUAGCUAAAUAUAUAUUAUAUGUGAUAAAAAUUACAUAUUCAAAAACUACAUUCCCACAUGAAUCUAAUGGUAUAUUAUUUAUUAUAUAUAAUAUAUAUUUAGCUAGUUAAAUUGACAACCUAGAACUAAGUGCAUGCCCUAUACACUUGGGACGGAGGUAAUAUCAUAAACUAGUAUCAUAGGUGAUCUCAUUUAUUCACAUGCAUGACAUAUACUAGUAGCAUAUCAUUUAACAUGUUACAAUAUCUACUUAUGUUACUCUAACCCCCCCUCUCUUCUUUAAAUGUCCGCCACAUCAACAUGUUUGCUAUUCCCAAGUACAUGAUACUCCCUCCUUUCCGGUUUAUAUGGCUCAUCUCAAAAAAUUUAGAUUUCCAUUAUACUAGACUCAUUUUGAGUCUAAGUGAGUUAAAGUGCUUUGAGUCUCACGCCAUAUUUAAUUCAUAGAGUUUAGAAAAAGGAGAUGAGUGGCUAUGCAUGCAUCGUUUUCUACAUCCACCAUGCAAGUCUAAUGAAAGAAAGGAUGCUAUAUUUAUUGCCUUGGAAAUUGAAUAUGUGAGAAAUAUUUCAUUGGCUAGUUUAAACUAGUGUCAUCCACUCACAAUUCACCUUGGUUGAUGAGAUUUCAGAUUUGAGCCCUAUAAACCGGAAAGGAGGGAGUACUACCUAAGUUACUUCCACUAUGGCCAGCCUAACAAUGUUGUUUUGUGGGAGAAAUUAAUCUACAUCCUGAAAGUCAAAACCAUUUUCUUUUAUUUCCUUCUAUUUCAAUGCUCAUCGCACGUGGAGGUGGGAGGAGGACGAGAGCAAUGGACACCACCAACAUGAUAAGAACACCCCCUGCACCGCUGCACAUGGUGCCCAAGAACACCAAGCGAGCGACCAUCGAGCGAUACCCCACCAUGUGCAUGCUACAUGAGCGCCCAACCAUCAACUGGAACGAGCACUACCGCCUCUGACAUGCCCUUCCAUACAUGAUUCAAGCUUAGCAGAACAGUGUGAUAUGACGUACUCCCUCCGUUCGAAAAUAAUUGUCCUAGAAAUGAAUAUAAUGGAUGUAUCUAUAACUAAAAUAAGUCUAGAUACAUUUAUCUCUAUGACAAGUAUUUCCGGACGGAGGUAGUACUAUGCAGGGACAGUCAUCCACGAUGGAGCGUUGACCAUGCCCUAACAAUGGUGUUUUGUGAGAGAAAUUAAUCUACACCGUGAAAGUCAAAACCAUUUUAUUUUAUUUCCUUCUAUUUCAAUGCUCAUCGCACGUGACGAACAAGUGAAUGAAUUCGUUGCAAGAAACAGAGGACCAGUGACAACUCGCUUGGAACCGGCAAAAUCCAAAUUUUGUGAGCUGCCUCCCGCUUCAGCGGACGAAAUUUGAGGGCCACGCCAGCGAUCCGCGCCGUCUCUCCCCGGAUCGUGAUCGCGACCAUCCAUUACGUCCAGAUCCAACGGCAGGCUGUGCCCUCCUCCCUUGUUAAAUCCCCCCCUUCGCCUCCGUCUCCCACCAACAGCCGCCGCCACCACACCGCAGCUCCUCCUCCGUUCCAUUCCCAAACUCCGUCAACCAUGUCCGGCCGCGGCAAGGGCGGGAAGGGCCUGGGCAAGGGCGGCGCGAAGCGCCACCGGAAGGUGCUGCGGGACAACAUCCAGGGCAUCACCAAGCCGGCCAUCCGUCGGCUGGCGCGGCGCGGCGGCGUGAAGCGCAUCUCGGGGCUCAUCUACGAGGAGACCCGCGGCGUGCUCAAGAUCUUCCUCGAGAACGUCAUCCGCGACGCCGUCACCUACACCGAGCACGCCCGCCGCAAGACCGUCACCGCCAUGGACGUCGUCUACGCGCUCAAGCGCCAGGGCCGCACCCUCUACGGAUUCGGCGGCUGAUCUGCUAGCUGCUGCUGCUCCGGCAAGUCCCUGCUAGCUGCCUGUGUUCCGGUGAUAUGUGGUUUUCUUCUGAGUUCGUGCGUCGUUGUUCCAUCGGUCUGUGUAGUUAUCGAAUAUGAAUGGAAUUGAAUCAAUGUUCCUGUGGUAUCAUCUUGGCUGCGUCUCUCGAUAUGUUCCUAUUUAGUCACUACCAAUUUGUGACAUCCUGAUUCUUCUCGGCAAUGAAGUUGGCGCACUGAUUGUGGGGAAGAAAACUGCUCCUGUAAUUUGAAUGUAAAUGGAAUGGAAUCAGCGUCGUAUUAGUUUGUGCUGAAACGUUCUCUGAAUCAAGUUUUCUUUCUUCCCGGAAGUCAUACAGACCUGUGUUCUGAAACUCUCGAGUUGGCACAAUUUUAGUUCACUUGGUUAUCAACUUGCCCAUUGGUCAAAAAAAAAAGAGUAACUAACUUGUACUCCCUCUGUAAACUAAUAUAAAAGCAUUUAGAUCACUAUUUUAGUUAUCUAAACACUUUUAUAUUAAUUUACAGAGGGAGUACUAAUGCUUUAGAAAAAAAAACACUGUCAUCUUGUGCUACUUUGUCAGCUGCUAUUUUGUUACCGGCCGGGACACGCUUGGUGUUCUCCUCUUCUCUGAUGAGGUGUGGCCAGGGCUUCCAUGAAUUUGUUAACAUUUGAGUAAGAAACAUGGCAUUUGAAUUACGAGGGGAAUAUGGACAUUUGACCCAGAUGGAUCACAACAUAGUGAUGGAGCAUAUACUGUUUCACUCCAGUAUUUACUAUUUUCUAGCAAAUCAAAUUCCAAGAUAAGUGUCUUCCUGUCACUGGUCAGAAAAACAUCUUGGAUCUUAAGUCGAGGAGACAAGCAGAUGCUGCUAUGUACUCCCUCCGUCCCAAAAUAAGUAACUCAAAAAACGACUCAACUUUGUAUUAAAGUUAGUGCAAAGUCGAGUCGCUUUUAAGUCACUUAUUUUGGGACGGAGGGAGUAUCUUUUUAAUAGAUUCACUUAUGAAGCAGUUUCGAUACAAUGAUGCUCAUAUGGGAUGACAAAUUGGCAAUGAGAUAGUUGAGGUGAUUAACUUUAUUCACACAAACUGAUUUCUUUCCGUACACCUAUGUAUGGUAAAAUGCCUUCAGAGCCAGGAUUGACAUUGUGGAAUUGCUUGCGCCGGUCAGUUUACUCGAAAGCUCAAACUUAUGGGAAAAGGUAGACUUGAACACUCCCCACAAACGCGGCUUUCCUAAUCCGGACCGGACGCUUGAACUUGCCGUUGUAUAUUUAGACGUUUUUAUCAUUAGCAGAAUAAAACAUAUCAUUUAUAGUGAGAUGUUUUGCUAACCCUUCGUUGUGUAUCUCCUAGUUUGUUUGGUCAUGAAUGGUAGAUGAUCCUUUAGCCCAGUCGAUGGGGGUGCCAAACUUCCAUGAGGGUCAUGUCUUCUUAACGCAAGACCCACAUCAGGGCUAUAUCUCACUCGCUGCGAGUAUAGUUAUGUCUUUCUUGCCUUAUGAGAUCAUGCAAAUGGCUCGACCCAUUAACAAAGGCAGAGAGCAUCAACCCUUACAUGAGCGGGCGGGUUUGGAGGACUCCGGAGUGCUCCCAGCCUAUUUUUGUUAAGCUUCCAGGCCGUUUUUUUCUUUCUCUUGACCAUUUUUUCUACUUGUUUUGAGCUUUUGUGUGUGUUUCUUUUAGCGGUUUUCUUGGUCUUUUCUUUUUUCUUUUUCUUGUUCGUUUUUUCUUUGGUUUUCUAUGUUGGGUUUCAACGAUUUUCCAUCAGGUUCCGCUUUUCAAUGUUUCUUUAAGCAGUCUUUUACUCUUUUAUUAUUUUUUGUCUGUUUCAUCACAUGUCUACUUUUUUAAUAAACAUUUUACAUUUUUCAUUUACAUAAGAAGCGUUUUUUAUACAUUUUUUAAAUAGAUGAUUACCAUUUUUCAAAUAUAUGAUCAAUUUUUACUUUUUUUCAUACCUAGUGUACAUGUUUUUAUAUAUAGAUAAUACUUUUAGUACAUGUUUAACUCUUUUAAAUAUAUGAUUACAUUUUUACAAAUGUAUGUUUUGAUUUCUAAAAUUUUCAUAUACAUUGUGCAUUUUUCAUAUACAUCCACACCAUUUUGUAUACAUGUUUAAUAUUUUUCAUAUAUAGUAUUAGCAUUUCCUCUCAAACACAUGUUUUUGAAUAGAUGUUAUAUAUUUUCCAGAUACACGUUAAAUCAUUUUUUCGAAUUAUAUGAUUUAUUAAACUAUUCAGUUUUUUUACGUUGUAUAAACACUUAUAGUGUCACACACAUAUGUUUUAAAACACGUGAAUGUCUUUUUUAGUGCAACCUAUAUUUUUCUAAUGGUAUGAUACUACUUUGAGUUGCGUGAACAUUAUUUAAAAUUGUGUAAAGUUUUUAAAGAUGUCAUGUACAAGUUUUGAAAUGCUUGAACUUUUUUUUAAAUUAGCGAAACAAUUGUUUUGAAUCAUCAUUCUAUUUUUUUUCUACAUAUGUUUUUAUGUAGGUUAUAUCAUUUAUUAAAAGAAACAGUUCUUUUUUCUUCAAAUACACGUUGGAAAAUUUGUUGUAGAGGUUGAAAUUUUUCGAGGUGAUUGUUGAACAUUUUUCAGUGCUGGCAGAUAUUUUUCAGAUGCAUAUUAAAAAUUUAAUAAAUACAUGGUGAAUAUUUUUGUAGCACAUAUUAAACAUUUGUAAGUGUUAGAACAUAUUUUUGAUUGGUCUGAUACAUUUCUUUUGAAAAUUAUCCAAGAACAUCUUCUCACGUGAGACCAACGACGGGUCAGAAAUAGCUGCCGCGUGAGACCAAGGAUAAAUGUUCAAUGUGUGUAAAUAAUAAUUCGAAACCAUUGUUAACACACAUUGACCUAUUUUUCCCGCAGACCAACUGUUGUCAAGUGUUAAAACAUGUUUAACACACAUUGAAGAUUUUAUCAAUACAUGAUGAAUAUUUCAAACAUAUAUUAAAAAAAUCAGAAACAAAAUUCAAUGUGUGUUAAAAUCUGUUCAAAAAUAUAUUCAAUAUGUGUUGUUGAGUAUUAGAACACGUUUAACACACAUUGAAGAUUUUAUCAAUAGAUGAUGAAUAUUUUUUAACACACAUUGAACAUUGGUCAUAGAGACGAGACCACGUUACAUCCCGGUAGGGUCCGAAAUAGCUCUCGCGUGGGACCAACGACCGACUUGCCUAAAGAUUCUUUUAUUUAUAGUGGGCUGACCCCUUGGUAUUUGGUUCGUUAGAUUCAUUUAUUUCCUUCUUACAACUAUGAGAGAUGGAAGGUGCUUCUGAAAGUUGAGAGACAGUUUCGUUUGUGUGUCUCUCUUUCUCUUUUCGCUCUCCAUUUUAAUUUUGUUAAUAUUUCGAAAUUAUUUAAAUAAUGUCAUAUAUUUUAUCACGCAUUACAAAUAUUAAUGUAGUGUAAAAAACCCCUCAUGCAAUUUGUAUAAAAUACUAAAGGGGGCACAUGAUGGAGGUUGGAGGAGGACGAGAGCAACGGACACCACCAACAUGAUAAGAACAACCCCUGUACCGCUGUACAUGGUGCCCAAGACCACCAAGCGUGCGACUCACCCUGGACAUUUGGGUACCCUAACCCGUUACGCGAACAUGAACUGAACCUAAUUAUCCGAAUUGUCAAGUAAUUCGCGUAACGAAUUAGGGUUCGAUUCUCAUUUCUUGGCUAUUUGGUUUCUGGGUUAGGAUUCGGGUUUGAGUCAAGAAAACCCGAAAUACCUAUACUAUCCGAAUUAUUCAUACUAUCCAAAUUAUUCAUCAUAUUAUUACACUGUCAUGUUACCCAUACUAGCUAAAAUACCCAUACUACCUGAAAUGCCCGUACUAUCCAAAUUAUUCUACCAAAAGUUGAUGUGUGCUCCGAAUAUUUCGGGUUUUUUGGGUACCCGGAUUACCUGAACCAAAAGUUUGAGUAAUUUGGGUUCUAGUAAGCAGAAAAAGUUUCUGUUUCCAUUUUGAAGUACCCGAAUUACCCAUAAACCAAACUACCCGAACCAAAAUAACCGAAAUACCCGAAUGCCCAGGGUGACGCGCGACCAGCGAGCGAUAAGCCACCAUGUGCAUGCUACAUGAGCGACCAACCAUCAACUAGAAUGAGCACUACCGCCUCUGACAUGCCCCUCCACACAUGAUUCAAGGACUACAACAAUCCAAAGUCGCCCGAUACAAUGGAGGCUGACUCGAUGGGAGAAUUGAUUUUGACGCCUCCAUCUCGCACGCCUUCGAUCUUAUGCCCCCCUCCUCAUUUGGCUUCCUCUCAACUCCCCGACGCGACUUAAUUUUUGCUCCAUUACCCCCCUACCAUGUUUACCUCUUGAUUUAUCUGGUCAGGAAGGAAUCUGGACUUAAUAUAUUUGCAAAUGCCAAAUCUGACCUUGUCCACUCUUCCUUCCAAAAGGUACGAGACAGAGGGGUUCCGUCCCUGUACCGACCUAGCAGCUAGAGCAGCUGCGCCGGCCGUCCGUCGCCCUCCUCCGCGGUGUCCCCCCAUGGAGGAUAAUGUACAUGGAUACUACUCAGUUAGCAGAUUCAGGGCAGUAUAUGAAGGUGUAAUUGAGCCCCUUACAAACAAGAAUCAGUGGCCACAUGUGCAUACAUGCUUCGUGUUGCGUCCACCAAUUCCAACAGGCAAGAAAAAAGAUGCUGGAAGAACAAGAAACAGAUGAUAAAGAGUUGGUGGGAAGGUGGAUCGAGGAAGGGAUCCUCGAACAAAUGCAAAAAUGCGGGGAGGUAGGACAUAGAGAAGCUGGAUGUCCUAAAAUUGGAACAAAGAAAAGGUACAAACUAGUACUUGUUGCUGUUUUCUAUUUAUAAUACCAUGGUUCUUUUACAUAAAAGUAGUUCUAAUUGCUUCUUUUUGUAGGAAAAGUACGGGAGGAAAGAAUCCAUGUCCAUGGUUUGAUGUUUCAGUUAGCAAUGUCGUUCCAUCUACACCAACCAAGAGCAAAAAUAAUGCCAAUUGUAGCAGUCCUGGAGCUGUCACAAGAAGCCAAGACGCAACUCAAGGUAGUCUCAAACCUGUCACAAGGAGGCAAUCUUCUACUCCACCACCAACAUCUCUAGGAAAAGGAAAGAAGAAGAAAAUUACUCAUACGAGGAAGAAAUUAAGUGACCUGUGAAUUUGUUGGUGGCUAUGAUGAACUCGUGUGUGAGUGGAGACUCACUUUUAUUGUUGUGUAUGUGAGGUGCAAAGUCACUUUUAUUUUCUCUGUAAGUGAGGUAGAGACUCACUUCUAUUUGCUAUGCCUGUAUGUGAGGUAGAGACUCACUUAUUUUGCUGUCAUCAAGUCUUGUAGAACAUAGUUGAACUUAUUCUCUAUGUUAUUGUUGAAUUAUUGUGAGAGCAUUAUUCCCAGUGCUAUCGUUCAAUUAUUGUGAGAUUAUUAUUCCCAGUCUGUUUGCGUAAAAGGUAUUGAUUACAACAAAAUGUUUUGUACCGGGUUGUGCCUUUCAAACUGAAGGGCAUUUUUGUCUAUUCCUGCUUCUGUUUGAUAGUUAUAUACUAACAUACGUGUUAACCAUGCCAAAGGAAGGUAUCAACAAGAGUUAGACAGAUCUGGGGGGGNNNNNNNNNNNNNNNNNNNNNNNNNNNNNNNNNNNNNNNNNNNNNNNNNNNNNNNNNNNNNNNNNNNNNNNNNNNNNNNNNNNNNNNNNNNNNNNNNNNNAGACCCGGGACUAAAGGUCCUCCUAUAUAAAACGAGCCUUCGAAGUUUCCAACCCCUCUUAUAUAGUUUGUUAGUUUAUUAGUUAAUCAAAUGUCCGUUUUUUGCAGAACUAUGGAUCCACAUAUCAGGAACCUCGAAGAGGAAGAACUUCUCGAAGAUAUAAUCAAAGACGGCCCCGACGUUGAACCAGCCGAAUCUCCGACGUCAUAUCUAAACGACUCCGGAUAUGGAAUGAAAGUCGAGCGACACGAAGAUGAAGCCGAUGGGGCAGGAGAUAGGUCCAAUGACGGAGAAGGUGAUAGCUCCACUGAUGGAGAAGCCGGUGGAGAAGCCGUGAAGAAAUAAUAAAGUCCGGCGAGGUAUACAUAUGAAGCUCGACAAUCACUUGUAAUAUGUGAAAAAUAUUGGAGAUAGCUCUAUAUUGUAUACAUAUACAUUCAUUUGACGAAUGUUUCUCCCUCUUAGGCCUCCACAUCGAGCAAAUCUAUGAAACGAGGCCCGACUAGAAAGUUGGAUGCACGAACGCAUUACACCUUUGAGGUGAUAAUGCCUAUGGGCGAACCCAAGCUUCCUAAGAAUGUUGCUGACACAUUCAAGAAGCAAUGCGGAGUUCUCGUUAGGGAUCACGUCCCGAUCAGCGUUCGGGAGUGGAACAAGCGCAAAGGGGCAGCCGAUAGUGACUAUGUCGCCGAAAGGUACAAAGAUAAUCUUUGGAAUGAUCUCAUGUCACAUUUCAACCUACCAGAAUGUGAGAAUGAAGACGCUGUAGACAAACUGAGGGCCAAAGUCAAGCAGUGGACUCUAAAGAAGAUGGCCGAACUGUUCCGUAGCUGGAAGAAGAAGCUAUGGAAAAACUAUCUGGAGACAAACAAAGUGCCAGUAUUCGAGGGGUAUCUAGCCAAGCAGGCGAAUCACUGGAAGGAAUUUUAAGAGUACAAGGAGUCAGAAGAUGCCCAGGCAUUAUCAGAAAAGAACAAGAUAAAUGCCGACAAGAAGAAAUAUCACCACAAGCUGGGGCCAGGGGGCUAUGAGACUGCCAUCCCAAAGUGGGAAAAGAAAGAGCAAGAUCUGAUAGAUAAAGGCAUCGUACCUGAACCACUCCGUGAUGAGUGGGAAUUGAGAGCAAGAAAUUGGUUCCUUGCGCAUGGUGGGUCGUACGACGAAACAACAGGGGACCUCAUCUGCAAUGACAAUCUUAGGAUACCCAGGGAGAAUUGGAAAAGGAUAGUGAAAGAAAUUAAGGAGGGACAAAGAAAGUUCACUGCAGAUAGAGAUAAAGAUUUGCUCACCCUGGUCCUCGGCAAUGACGAACAUGGAGGACGAACGCGAGGCUUCGGUCCAUCUUACCCGUGGUGGCUUGGGUUUGCCAGAGACCAAGACACUUACAGAAGUCGAGAGAGAGCAAAGAAGCGGCAGCAGGAUGAGGAGAAUGACAAGUUCAACCAGUUGCUUGCCAGGAUUAACGAGCAACAGAAGCAGAUUGAUGAGCUUAGAGGAGUACCGCGCCAGGAAGAUCCUGCACUUGAUAUUACCGGCGCCCCAUCUAAGCGGAAAAGCAGCGNNNNNNNNNNNNNNNNNNNNNNNNNNNNNNNNNNNNNNNNNNNNNNNNNNNNNNNNNNNNNNNNNNNNNNNNNNNNNNNNNNNNNNNNNNNNNNNNNNNNUGAUCUAUUUAUUCACACAUGUAUUACUGUUUCCUGUUAAUACAAUUAUAGCAUGAACAAUAGACGAUUAUCAUGAACAAGGAAAUAUGAUAAUAACCAUUUUAUUAUUGCCUCUAGGGCAUAUUUCCAACAGUCUCCCACUUGCACUAGAGUGAAUAAUCUAGUUACAUUGUGAUGUAUCGAACACCCAUAGCAUUAUGGUGUUGAUCAUGUUUUGCUCGUGGAAGAGGUUUAGUUAACGGGUCUGCAACAUUCAGAUCCAUGUGUACUUUACAAAUCUCUAUUACUCCACUCUGGACAUGGUCUUGGAUGGAGUUGUAGCGGCGUUUGAUGUGCUUCGUCUUCCGGUGAAACCUGGGCUCCUUGGCUAUGGCAAUGGCCCCAGUGUUAUCACAGAAGAGUGUCAUUGGACCCGACGAGCUUGAAACCACUCCAAGGUCGGUGAUGAGCUCCUUCAUCCAAAUUCCUUCAUGNNNNNNNNNNUGCUUCAGAAGUAGCUAUGUACUCCGCUUCACAUGUAGAUGCUACCACGACUUCUUGCUUGUUGCUGCACCAGCUCACUGCCCCACCAUUCAAAACAUAUACGUAUCCGGUCUGUGACUUAGAGUCAUCCAGAUCUGUGUCGAAGCUAGCAUCGACGUAAACCUUUACGACGAGCUCUUCUUCACCUCCAUAAACGAGAAACAUUUCCUUAGUCCUUUUUAGGUACUUAAGGAUAUUCUUGACCGCGGUCCAGUGUUCCCUACCGGGAUAACUUUGGUACCUCCCUACCAAACUUAUGGCAAGGUUUAUAUCAGGUCUGGUACACAGCAUGGCAUACAUAAGAGAGCCUACGGCUGAAGCGUAGGGGACAGAACUCAUCUUCUCUCUAUCUUCUGCCGUGGUCGGCGACUGAGUCUUACUCAAUCUCAUACCUUGCAAAACUGGCAAUAACCCUUUCUUUGAGUUUUCCAUAUUGAACUUCUUCAAUAUCUUGUCAAGGUAUGUACUUUGCGAAAGACCUAUGAGGCGUCUCGAUCUAUCUCUACAGAUUUUGAUGCCUAAUAUGUAUGCAGCUUCUCCAAGGUCCUUCAUUGAAAAACUCUUGUUCAAAUAGGCCUUUAUGCUUUCCAACAUCUCUAUGUCAUUCCUCAUCAAUAAUAUGUCAUCCACAUACAGUAUGAGGAAAGAUACAGAGCUCUCACUCACUUUUUUAUACAGACAGGCUUCUCCAUAAACCUGUAUGAACCCAAACGCUUUAAUCACCUCAUUAAAGCGAAUGUUCCAACUCCGAGAUGCUUGCACCAGCCCAUAGAUGGAGCGCUGGAGCUUGCACACUUUGUUAGCACCCUUAGGGUCGACAAAACCUUCUGGUUGCAUCAUAUACAACUCUUCCUUAAGGUUCCCGUUAAGGAACACUGUUUUGACGUCCAUUUGCCAAAUUUCAUAAUCAUAAAAGGCGGCAAUUGCUAACAUGAUUCGGACUGAUUUCAGCUUCACUACGGGAGAGAAAGUCUCGUCGUAGUCAACUCCUUGAAUUUUUCGAAAACCCUUUGCGACAAGUCGAGCUUUGUAAACGGUUACAUUACCGUUUGCAUCAGUCUUCUUCUUGAAGAUCCAUUUAUUUUCUAUGGCUCGCCGGUCAUCGGGCAAGUCCACCAAAGUCCAUACUUUGUUCUCAUACAUGGAUCCUAUCUCGGAUUUCANNNNNNNNNNGCUACGGGAGAGAAAGUCUCUUGGUAGUCAAUUCCUUGAAUUUGUCGAAAACCCUUUGCGACAAGUCGAGCUUUACAAAUGGUUACAUUACCGUUUGCAUUAGUCUUCUUCUUGAAGAUCCAUUUAUUUUCUAUGGCUAGCCGGUCAUUGGGCAAGUCCACCAAAGUCCAUACAUUGUUCUCAUACAUGGAUCCUAUCUCGGAUUUCAUCGCUUCAAGCCAUUUGUUGGAAUCCGGGCCCGCCAUCGCUUCUUCAUAGUUCGAAGGUUCACCGUUGGCUAACAACAUGAUUUCCAUCACAGGGUUGCCGUACCACUCUGGUGCGGAGCGUGCCCUCGUGGACCUUCGCGGUUCAGUAGUAACUUGAUCUGAAGCUUCAUGAUCAUUAUCAUUAACUUCCUCUUCAGUUGGUGUAGGCGCUACAGGAACAACUUCCCGCGCUGCGCUACUAUCUUGUUCGAGAGGGGGUGUAAUUACCUCAUCAAGUUCUACCUUCCUCCCACUUACUUCUUUCGAGAGAAACUCUUUCUCUAGAAAGGAUCCGUUCUUGGCAACAAAGGUUUUACCUUCGGAUCUAAGAUAGAAGGUAUACCCAAUAGUUUCCUUAGGGUAUCCUAUGAAUACGCAUUUCUCCGCUUUGGGUUUGAGCUUUUUUGGUUGAAGUUUCUUCACAUAAGCAUCGCAGCCCCAAACUUUAAGAAANNNNNNNNNNCCAAACCAUAGUUCAUACGGUGUCGUCUCAACGGAUUUAGAUAGUGCCCUAUUUAAAGUGAAUGCUGCAGUUUCUAAUGCGUAUCCCCAAAAUGAUAGCGGUAAGUCGGUAAGAGACAUCAUAGAUCGUAUCAUAUCUAAUAAAGUGCAAUUACGAUGUUCAGACACUCCGUUGCGUUGCGGUGUGCCAGGCGGCGUCAGUUGUGAAACGAUUCCACACUUCCUUAGUGUGUGCCAAACUCGUGACUCAAAUAUUCUCCUCCACGAUCAGAUCGNNNNNNNNNNUCAAACCAUAGUUCAUACGGUGUCGUCUCAACGGACUUAGACGGUGCCCUAUUUAAAGUGAAUGCUGAAGUUUCUAAUGCGUAUCUCCAAAAUGAUAGCGGUAAGUCGGUGAGAGACAUCAUAGAUCGUACCAUAACUAAUAAAGUGCGAUUACGACGUUCAGACACUCCGUUGCGCUACGGUGUGCCAGGCGGUGUCAGUUGUGAAACGAUUCCACACUUCCUUAGGUGUGUGCCAAACUCGUGACUCAAAUAUUCUCCUCCACGAUCAGAUCAUAGACACAUAAUUUUUCUGUCACGUUGAUUCUCGACCUCACUCUGAAAUUCCUUGAACUUUUCAAAUGUCUCAGAUUUGUGCUUCCUCAAGUAGAUAUACCCAUACCUACUCAAAUCAUCGGUGAGAGUGAGAACAUUACGAUAGCCACCGCGAGCUUCAACGUUCAUUGGACCACACACAUCAGUAUGUAUUAUUUCUAAUAAGUCGGUUGCUCUCUCCAUUAUUCCUGAGAAUGGAGUAUUAGUCAUCUUGCCCAUGAGGCACGGUUCGCAUGUGUCAAAUGGUUCAAAGUCAAGAGAUUCUAAUAGUCCAUCAGUAUGGAGCUUCUUCAUGCGCUUAACGCCGAUAUGACCAAGGCGGCAGUGCCACAAGUAUGUGGGACUAUCAUUAUCAACUUUACAUCUUUUGGUACUCACACUAUGAAUAUGCGUAACAUCACGAUCGAGAUUCAUCAAGAAUAAACCAUUCACCAGCGGAGGAUGACCAUAAAACAUAUCACUCAUAUAAAUAGAACAACCAUUAUUCUCNNNNNNNNNNGACAUUUAAUUUUUCUGUCACGUUGAUUCUCAACCUCACUCUGAAAUUCCUUGAACCUUUCAAACGUCUCAGAUUUGUGCUUCAUCAAGUAGAUAUACCCAUACCUACUCAAAUCAUUAGUGAGAGUGAGAACAUAACGAUAACCACCGCGAGCUUCAAGGUUCAUUGGACCACACACAUGAGUAUGUAUUAUUUCCAAUAAGUCGGUUGCUCUCUCCAUUAUUCCUGAGAAUGGAUUCUUAGUCAUCUUGCCCAUGAGGCACGGUUCGCAUGUGUCAAAUGAUUCAAAGUCAAGAUACUCUAAUAGUCCAUCAGUAUGGAGCUUUUUCAUGCGCUUAACGCCGAUAUGACCAAAGCGGCAGUGCCACAAGUAUGUGGGACUAUCAUUAUCAACUUUGCAUCUUUUGGUACUCACACUAUGAAUAUGUGUAACAUCACGAUCCAGAUUCAUCAAAAAUAAACCAUUCACCAGCGGAGCAUGACCAUAAAACAUAUCACUCAUAUAAAUAGAACAACCAUUAUUCUCUGACUUAAAUGAGUAGCCGUCUCGCAUUAAGCAAGACCCUGAUACAAUGUUCAUGCUUAAAGAUGGUACUAAAAAACAAUUAUUAAGGUUUAAAACUAAUCCCGACGGUAGAUGUAAAGGUAGCGUGCCGACGGCGAUCACAUCGACCUUUGAACCAUUCCCGACGCGCAUCGUCACCUCGUCCUUGGCCAGUCUCCGCUUAUUCCGCAGUUCCUGCUUUGAGUUGCAAAUGUGAGCAAUAACACCGGUAUCAAAUACCCAGGAGCUACUAUGAGCGCUGGUAAGGUAUACAUCAAUAACAUGUAUAUCACAUAUACCUUUAACGUUGCCGGCCUUCUUGUCCGCUAAGUAUUUGGGGCAGUUCCGCUUCCAGUGACCCUUUCCCUUGCAAUAGAAGCACUCAGUCUCAGGCUUGGGUCCGUUCUUUUUCUUCUUCCCGGCAUCUGGCUUACCGGGUGCGGCAACAGCUUUGCCGUCUUUCUUGAAGUUCUUCUUACCCCUGCCUUUCUUGAAACUAGUGGUCUUGUUGACCAUCAACACUUGAUGCUCUUUCUUGAUUUCUACUUCUGCAGACUUGAGCAUCAAGUACAACUCGGGAAUGGUCUUCUCCAUCCCUUGCAUGUUGUAGUUAAGCACAAAACCUUUGUAGCUUGGUGGGAGAGACUGGAGGAUUAUUUCAAUUAUAGCAUCAUCCGGAAGUUCGACUCCAAGUGAAGUCAGACGACCGUGUAACCCAGACAUUUUGAGUAUGUGCUCACUGACAGAACUGUUCUCCUCCAUCUUACAGCUAAAGAACUUGUCGGAGACUUCAUAUCUCUCGACANNNNNNNNNNCUGAUACUAAAUAACAAUUAUUAAGGUUUAAAACUAAUCCCGACGGUAGAUGUAGAGGUAGCGUGCCGACGGCGAUCACAUCGACCUUGGAGCCAUUCCUGACGCGCAUCGUCACCUCGUCCUUGGCCAGUCUCUGCUUAUUCCGCAAUUCCUGCUUUGAGUUGCAAAUGUGAGCAACAACACCGGUAUCAAAUACCCAGGAGCUACUACGAGCGUUGGUAAGGUACACAUCAAUAACAUGUAUAUCACAUAUACCUUUAACGUUGCCGGCCUUCUUGUCCGCUAAGUAUUUGGGACAGAUCCGCUUCCAGUGACCCUUUGCCUUGCAAUAGAAGCACUCAGUCUCAGGCUUGGGUCCAUUCUUUUUCUUCCUCCCGGCAUCUGGCUUACCGGGCGCGGCAAUGGCUUUGCCGUCUUUCUUGAAGUUCUUCUUACCCUUGCCCUUCUUGAAACUAGUGGUCUUGUUGACCAUCAACACUUGAUGCUCUUUCUUGAUUUCUACUUCUGCAGACUUGAGCAUCGAGUACAACUCGGGAAUGGUCUUCUCCAUCCCUUGCAUGUUGUAGUUCAGCACAAAACUUUUGUAGCUUGGUGGGAGAGACUGGAGGAUUCUGUCAAUUAUAGCAUCAUCCGGAAGUUCGACUCCAAGUGAAGUCAGACGANNNNNNNNNNUGGGCAUGAGCUUGAAAAACUAGCUUCAGCUCUUGGAACAUCUCAUAUGUACCGUGUUGCUCAAAACGCCUUUGGAGCCCCGUUUCUAAACUGUAUAGCAUGCCACACCUAACCAGAGAGUAGUCAUCACUCCGCGUUUGCGAGACAUUCAGAAUGUCCUGGGCUGAUGCGGGAGCGGGAGGGUCACCUAGCGGCGCAUCAAGGACAUAAGCCUUUUUAGCUGCUUCAAGGAUGAGCUUCAAGUUGUGAACCCAGUCCGCAUAGUUGCUACCAUCAUCUUUUAGCUUGUUUUUCUCUAGGAAUGCGUUGAAAUUGAGGUUGACGUUUGCCAUCUACAAUAUUUAUAAAGACAACCUUUUUUAGACUAAGUUCAUGACAAUUAAGUUCAUUUAAUCAAAUUAAGUAUGAACUCCCACUUAAAUCGACAUCUAUACCUAUACUAAUUAGAGACUCUCAAAAAAUUACCACGUUAAUUAGAAAUUAAGAGCCGUUUAUCUUAUGUGGGACCGAAUUAUUACGGUGUAGAUCUUCCUAUAACUCCCUUAUUAGUUUUAACCGGAAAUACUUCAUGUUAUCCUUAAAACUAGGAACCACAGCCGUUGGAUGUUGUUAAUAAAGAGUAAACAUAAAACGUUAGGUGUUUGAUUGAUUCGAACGAGCCCUGGACCAUUUAUAUAUUUAUAUAAAAAAGAGUACUGUAGCUUCAAAAUAAAAAGAGUCCCAUAUGAUCCCAUGAAGUCGUGAGCUAUCCUAAUCCUGCAUCUUUCCUUCAACCGUGGCCUGGGUCUAGCCGCCGCGAGUCUCCCCUUUCCACCCCAGCGCCGUCACGCUCUUCAUCAAAGCAAGAUUGUCCACCUUUAUGUCCAUGCGCUGUGCGUGCAUAUCACACAUCAGGAUACAUCCAUCCAUCCAGGAAGUAAGAUUUACUUUAGCGUCCCUGUUUAAUGACAUGGAUUCAUCAUUACUGCACCGAUGAAAUCUCCAUCAAAGCAAGAUUGUUUAGUUGAGCAAGUAGCCGUAUACAUGUCUCAUGUCUGGACCACGGUCGAGAGAGUUCAGUGCAGCUGCCUAGCUGACUUGAGAAUAUAUUGUUGCCCUUGGUGAUUACUACCACGAGAAUCAAGCUAGACCUACUACUACUUGCCGGCUGCACAACUUGCACAUGUACGUGCAAGGCUAAAUCCAAGAACCAACUAAUGGCCGUUGCUUCAGUUAGCAGCAGUACGCACAUGUACAUAUGUAUAUAUAUAUACAAGACGACUGUGCAAGCAUGCAGUCUAAUUACUUCUGCUAUAAAGAAGGAGCAUGGGCAGUGAUUCUGUAGGGCAGCCAACUGACCGUUCGCUAUGUUGUUGUAUAUAUUGUUGCUAAUCUUUCCUCCUUUUGGUUAUUUUGUUCUUUCCUAAAGUCUAAUAGGUAUCUGUCGUCCAUACAUUGAUCCUUUGUAUAGAUGAAAACCUAAAAAAAUAUCUUUCUCUAAACAGUACCACAUUAGAUUUAUUGCUACGCUCUGUUCAAUCAAUAGAGAUUUGGAUAAUUUGAUUUGCAAUAAUGCUAAACUCACACUUUAGUUCAUUAUGUCAACUCUCUUUAGGUUAAAGUAUUUAUUUUCAGCAGCUUAGCACUGACUUCAUCUAUAUAAAUAAACUAAUUCGUACAAGAGUUGUAAUUUCUUAUUCUUUUUACAUAUGUGCAUGGCCGACGAUGGUGCCGAAUAACUAUGGCGCAUAUGUUAGAUUCAAUGGUUUGCUUGUAUAGAUGAAAACCUGAAAAAAAUAUCUUUCUCUAAAUAGUACCACAUUAGAUUUAUUGCUACGCUCUGUUCAAUCAAUUGAGAUUUGGAUAAUUUGAUUUGCAAUAAUGCUAAACUCACACUUUAGUUCAUUAUGUCAACUCUCUUUAGGUUAAAGUAUUUAUUUUCAGCAGCUUAGCACUGACUUCAUCUAUAUAAAUAAACUAAUUCGUACAAGAGUUGUAAUUUCUUAUUCUUUUUACAUAUGUGCAUGGCCGAUGAUGGUGCCGAAUAACUAUGACGCAUAUGUUAGAUUCAAUGGUUUGCUUUUCUUAUGCUGCAAAAGAAUUAUCUCAUUGCUCGACAACCCUGAGCAUUCUUUCCAAUUAGCAUCUACUGACAAUUGCACUAUUUGGUUAUCUUCAUAUUACCUUUUACUCGCUUUGUCGUCACUUAUACAGAUGAACUGACCCAGUUUGCGCAUCUUAUUCAAUAAUUUUAGAUGCAAGAAUAUGGUAAAUUGUUACUGAUUUACUAUAAGAUAAGAAAAUAAUAAAGCAAUGAUUACACUUUUUACACAUGUACCGUUGCAUUCUCAUCCUCAUGUCGAAAUGCUAAAGCAUACUUGGAAGCGGCAUGAUAGUACUAAAUUUAUACACAAUACUGAACGUUUACUUGAGCAGUAGCCGUCCGGAGUUUAACAUGUGCUCUUACCUUUUAACUGUGUCUUGGAAUAAUGCUCUUAUAUGCUUCCACUAGAUUUUAUCCGAUGCAAACAUAUAGAUACACUUUCAUAAGCCAAGCGCAAGUCCUUCUGCUUUGAGAUUGAUUUCGAUUUACAGUUGAUGCAUAUAUUACCUCCUUAAUAAGUUGUUCAAAUAUAGAGGAUGUGACUAACUUAUUGAGUAUAAUAAUUUUCCAGAUGGGUGUUGCAUUUAACAGAUCCCUAGCUUUGUUAUGGUACCAUUGGACUAUCCAGACCGGUAAGGCGUAAGGGAAUCACAUAACAUGUUUCUCAGGUGAGAUGCUAUAUAUAAACAUGCAUAUGGCCAUUAAUGUCUAUGUGCUGGACGGUGAAAUGAACUCCCUACCGAAGCUAUGCUAUCUUAUGCUAAUUAGGCUAGCAUGUUCGGCUACACUUGCUAGGAGUUUGGUCGGAUUAUUAUAUGUUGUCUUAUUUUCUUGCUAAUUUUGUAGUUUCUGACAUUUAUCAUGAUUUUUCGUCCUUUAAUAAAAUUUUACUUUUUGACUACAAAACUACAACUAUCUUUAUCUACGUACUACUAUUUAAUUUUUUUCCUUUGGCUUCUAUUCUAUUUCAGGCUUGGGUGUACUGAAACAAUAAUAUAGGUAUAAACUUAUACAGAUGAGCUGCACUACUCUGCGCAGCUUAUCCAAUUGAUCUGGCCGUAAGUAUAUUAGUUUGUACAAGAUACUGAUUCAUUGCCGGUUCUUAUCUAUAUAUGGUGUACUAUUUUGUUAGAAGAUGGUUUGUAAUGUUGAUGCAUUCUUAAUGGUACAUACUUAUUACAUUUUAUUUUUAGAUAUUGCCCUUUCAAAUUUCAUUUGGAUAGAUGAUUGUUUUUUUAUAAAUACCCUUUAUGAAUAUUUUACUUUAUGAUAAAAAAACAGUCAAACUGUUUCAGUUUCAUAAGCAUCUAGCGAGAAUAAUUACCAGACAUAUUUCCAAAUAUUGCCUCCGUCCCAGAAUUGAAGAUCGUUUUGCAGGCUAUGUAUUGUAGCUAGGAUGGAGGGAGUAUCAUUUACAUCUUUUAUAAAAGUGCUGCAUCGGCUAUGGACAUCUGGAUGCUAUGAGUGCAUAGUUGUCUUUUGAGUUUCGUUGUAUAAGCUAAUGUAUGCUUUUAUUUUCUCUUGAGCUUUUGGUUUAUGUUUGAUAUACAUCCCAUGGUAAACAAAAGAACAUGUGGAGUGACCUGGUCAUUUGUUUAUUAUGGUGAUUCUCCUAUUCCAUUGGCUAUUUUGUAGGUGAUUUGCAAUCAACAAUUAAUGGAGUUUGGUAAAGAAGGUGCCAUCAUAGUGACUCUUCAUUAGGUUCUCAUUGUUCACUUAUAAUGGAAACAAUAACACAAUACAUGAUGUGUGUGCAUAGAAUUAUGUGAUCAAUUGUUUCCAAGUUAUUGCUUGAUUUUGCUAUAACAAGCCAAAUGUUUCUUUGAAGUCUAAUCAUCAUCCAAUAGCUGUUUAUAUAUGUUCGUUUUGUUGUGUAUCUUGUGGAUUCAUGCCAUGCAAACUACUUUAUGGUUCUCUACUAUUUAUAUGAACAACAAAAUUUGUUUUAUUUUCAGACAUAAUAAGGUUAAGUAAAACAAAGAAGACUAAUUUAAGGAUGUAGCAUGACAUUGCGGAGUGCAAGAGUUCAUCAAAACGAGAUAACCUACGAAAAAAAACAUGAAAACAAGACGGUGAAAUUAUUUGCCGAUAAAUUUAUGCUACUUUGCAUUGUAGAUGAGAAUACAUUUUUGAGCAUGACAUGUAAAUAUGUCAUGUAGUGUACGUCCAAAGUUGGAUUUUCUUUUUAACUUUGGUGUAUGACUUCUCCUAGAUAACAAAUUUCAGACAUUUUCAUAUAUGGUAAGCAUUUUUUUAAUUACUUCAUUACUAAUAGUGAUAUAUUUUCAUAUUUAGAUAUAUAUGUGUAUCAGAUAACCUAUUAGUAUCUUUAUGUGUUCUCAAAAUAACUAGCUCGUGCUGAUGCACGGGUUGACGACUAGUCCCUCUAGUCAUCUAAGUGAUACAUGAUCCAUGUUGACUGACCCGUGUCCGAUCAUCACGUGAGACGGACUAGUCACCAUGGUGAGCAACUUCAUGCUGAUCGUAUUCAACCAUACGACUCAUGUNNNNNNNNNNCGGGCAUGAGCUUGAAAAACUAGCUUCAGCUCCUGGAACAUCUCAUAUGCCCCGUGUUGCUCAAAAGGCCUUUGGAGCCCCGUUUCUAAACUGUAUAACAUGCCACACCUGACCAGAGAGUAGUCAUCACUCCGCGUUUGCCAGACGUUCAGAAUGUCCUGGGCUGCUGCGGGAGCGGGAGGGUCACCUAGCGGCGCAUUAAGGACAUAAGCCUUUUUAGCUGCUUCAAGGAUGAGCUUCAAGUUGCGAACCUAGUCCGCAUAGUUGCUACCAUCAUCUUUCAGCUUGUUUUUCUCUAGGAAUGCGUUGAAGUUGAGGUUGACGUUGGACAUCUACAAUAUUUAUAAAGACAACUUUUAGACUAAGUUCAUGACAAUUAAGUUUAUUUAAUCAAAUUAAGUAUGAACUCCCACUUAAAUCGACAUCCCUCUAGUCAUCUAAGUGAUACAUGAUCCAUGUUGACUAACCCGUGUCCGAUCAUCACGUGAGACGGACUAGUCAUCAUGGUGAGCAACUUCAUGCUGAUCGUAUUCAACCAUACGACUCAUGUNNNNNNNNNNUUGUAAAUCUAGCUUACACACGUUGUAUGCGAACGUUAGAAUCUAUCACACCCGAUCAUCACGUGGUGCUUCGAGACAACGAUCCUUCGCAACGGUGCACACUUAGGGGAAUACGUUCUCGAAAUUUUAAGAGGGAUCAUUUUAUUAUGCUACCGUCGUUCUAAGCAAUAAGAUGAAAAACAUGAUAAACAUCACAAUGCAAUCAUAUAGUGACAUGAUAUGGCCAUUAUCAUCUUUGCUCUUUNNNNNNNNNNUCAACCUUUCGGUCUCUUGUAUUCGAGGUCAUGUCUGUACAUGCUAAGCUCGUCGAGUCAACCUAGGUGUUUCGCGUGUGUAAAUGUGGCUUACACCCGUUGUAUGCGAACGUUAGAAUCUAUCACACCCGAUCAUCACGUGGUGNNNNNNNNNNNNNNNNNNNNNNNNNNNNNNNNNNNNNNNNNNNNNNNNNNNNNNNNNNNNNNNNNNNNNNNNNNNNNNNNNNNNNNNNNNNNNNNNNNCGAUCUCCAUCUUCAGGCAUCGCAUGAUCAUCAUCGUCACCGGUGUGACACCAUGAUCUCCAUCAUCAUGAUCUUCAUCAUCGUGUCUCCGUGAAGUCGUCACGCCAACUACUACUAUCACUACUACUAUAGCUAACCGUUAGCAAUGAAGUGAAAGUAGUAAGCACAUGGCGUUGCAUCUCAUACAAUAAAUUAAGACAACUCCUAUGGCUCCUGCUGGUUGUCAUACUCAUCGACAUGCAAGUCGUGAAACCUAUUACAAUAACNNNNNNNNNNUGAUCUCCAUCUUCAGGCAUCGCAUGAUCAUCAUCGUCACCGGCGUGACACCAUGAUCUCCAUCAUCAUGAUCUCCAUCAACGUGUCUCUGUGAAGUCGUCACGCCAACUACUACUAUCACUACUACUAUAGCUAACCGUUAGCAAUGAAGUAAAAGUAGUAAUCACAUGGCAUUGCAUCUCAUACAAUAAAUUAAGACAACUCCUAUGGCUCCUGCCGGUUGUCAUACUCAUCGACAUGCAAGUCGUGAAACCUAUUACAAUAACAUGAUCAUUUCAUACAUCAUACAUGCAACAUCACAACUUUGGCCAUAUCACAUCACAUGCCAAACCCUGCAAAAACAAGUUAGACGUCCUCUAAUUGUUGUUGCAAGUUUUACGUGGCUGAUUUGGGUUUCUAGCAAGAACGCUUUCUUACCUACGUGACAGCCACAACGAUGAUAUGCCAAACCUAUUUACCCUUCAUAAGGACCCUUUUCAUCAAAUCCACUCCGACUAGAGUAGGAGAGACAGGCACCCGCUAGCCACCUUUAUGCACGAUGUGCAUGUCUGUCGGUGGAACCAGUCUCACGUAAGUGUACGUGUAAUGUCGGUCCGGGCCGCUUCAUCCCACAAUACCGUCGGAAAAGAAUAAGACUAGUAGCGGCAAGCAAUUGACAAAUCAUCGCCCACAACCUUUUGUGUUCUACUCCUGCAUAGAAUCUACGCAUAGAAAACCUGGCUCGCAUGCCACUGUUGGGUAACGUAGCAUAAAUUCAAAAAAAUUCCUACGCAUAUUCAGAUCUUCCUAUGAAGAGACCAGCAACGAGAGAGGGGGUGAGUGCAUCUUCAUACCUUUGAAGAUCGCUAAGCGUAAGCGUUACUAGAACGCGGUUGAUGGAGUCCUACUUGCGGCGAUUCAUAUCGCGGUGUGAUUCCGAUCUAGUGCCGAACAACGGCACCUCCGCGUUCAACACACGUGCAGCCCGGUGACGUCUCCCGCACCUUGAUCCAGCAAGGAGGAGGGAGAGGUUGGGGAAGAACUCCAGCAACACGACGGCGUGGUGUCGAUGGAGAGACGAGGUCUCCCGGCAGGGCUUCGCCAAGCACCGGCAGAGAGGAGGAGGAAGAAGAGCAGGGCUGCGCCGAGAGAGAGGGAAAAACCGUGUAUCUCAAUGGCCAAAAGUGCCCGAUAUAUAUAGGGGGAGGGGAGAGGGGGUGCCACCCCUAGGGUUCCCACCCUAGGGGGUGCGGCAGNNNNNNNNNNNNNNNNNNNNNNNNNNNNNNNNNNNNNNNNNNNNNNNNNNNNNNNNNNNNNNNNNNNNNNNNNNNNNNNNNNNNNNNNNNNNNNNNNNNNGCAGCCUGACGACGUCGUCGAGUUCGUCGCUUGCCGCACCGGGCAGGAGAACGAGAGGAAGAAGAAGAGAAAUGGACGAUUUGGGUUCGAAAUUUUCUAACUCCCGCUUAUACAGGUGGAUCUUUAGUCCCGGGUGGAGCCACGAACCGGGACUAAAGACCCCUUUAGUCCCGGGUGGAGCCACGACCCGGGACUAAAGACCCUUUUUCGGGCAGACCAGAAGGCGGGAAACAGGGGCCCUUAGUCCCGGGGCAUGGCUCCAACCGGGACUAAAGGGGAUCUUUAGUCCCGGGUGGAGCCACGACCCGGGACUAAAGGCCCUUUUUGGGCAGACAAGAAGGCGGGAAGCAGUGGCCUUUAGUCCCGGGGCGUGGCAAGAACCGGGACUAAAGUUUUGCCUAUAUAAACCCUCGCCCCUGCCCGCCAUAUCCCCUGUUUUUUGGUUGUUGAAGUGUGACCAUGCCAUGCUCUUUCCACUCUAGUUCAUGCACAUGACGUGUUCGAUGAAAUUCCCGAGCCACUCUACUUCAGCUUUCUCCUCUCCAAGCUCCAUUUUCCUUAAUAUUUGUCUAGGUUUGGCCGUGCACCAACUGCGAGCACCACCGUGGUGAGCCUCUUGUUCUUAUCUUCUUUUUAAAAUCAAAAAAAUCUUACUUGUAUCAUUUAGAUACAUACUUGUAUAAAUUACUCACUUUCAUUAUUUUUUGUUAUUAUAUAGUGCGAUGGUUUUGGUAUCCGCCUCCGUCGGCCCUCGUCCUGUCUAUGAUUCGGAUGUGGUAUAUAUUAUCUUUUAUAACUAUUUGUUUUAUUUAGUGUUUAUGACAAUUAUGACGACCAAUGUGACAUAUAUUUUUUUUAAUCUAGGAGGUAUGUGAACCGGAAAUUCCAACCCACAUAAAAAUUCUUGUCGAGAAGUUAAAUUUGGUUGAAAAAGAAAACAAAUACUUGAAAAAAAUCUGAAAAUAAUUGAGGAUAAGAAUAUGGAACUGGAGUUGCAUGUCGCCGAUGUCAUCGAUGAUCGCAAGAUGAAGAUCCAUGCGAUGCGGUUGAAGAUGGAUGCAAUGCGCUUGAAGAUGGAUGAAAUGCGCUUGAAGAUUAGGAAUAUUAGAAAAUAUGCCAUUGAUAAAGAGGCUUAGUAUCAUUAUGCUGUUGGGUCAAUUGUUACCUUAGUUGCGAUUUUGAUCGCGUUUGUUGUUGCAUUUAAAUGUUUUACAUAGUUGUAUGUUGUUUUAUUAGAGAACUUUAUGUAUUUAUUUUUUGCAAUAAUAACAUUUGAUCACUACUGUUCUUUGGCUUUAAUGUGAUGAUGAACUUGUAUUAAUUUGGUCAUAUGUUCUGCAAUGGUUUUUUGAACUUAUUUGAACUCCAUACUUUUUGUGUGUUCAAAAUGCAUCAUUCAAAGGCACAUCACAAAAUUUCAACAAUUUCUGACUUCAUUUGGUAUAUUUGGUGCAUUUACUUGUUUUUUUGAGCUAGUUGACCCUGAAAUUGAAAAGCGCUACAAAUGAACUCUGAAAAUGUUGAAAGUUUGCAUGCUAUCAUCAUUUCACCCACAUAGCAUGUGUUAAAAAGUUGAGAGGGCUACGACAAAAACUGGAUGCACUUCGUUUACAAAACGGACAAUCUCUCUCGAAGUAUCAGGGUUUCGAACGAGAACNNNNNNNNNNAUACUUCGUGUACAAAACGGACAAUCUCUCUCGAAGUAUUAGGGUUUCGAACGAGAACUCAUCUCUUACAAAGGGAUUUCAUUUUUUGAACUUAUUUGAACUCCAUACUUUUUGUGUGUUCAAAAUGAAUCAUUCAGAGGCACAUCACAAAAUUUCAACAAUUUCUGACUUCAUUUGGUAUAUUUCAUGCAUUUACUUAUUUUUUUGAGCUAGUUGACCCUGAAAUUGAAAAGCACUACAAAUGAACUCUGAAAAUGUUGAAAGUUGGCAUGCUAUCAUCAUUUCNNNNNNNNNNAAUGUGUUAAAAAGUUGAUAGGGCUACGACAAAAACUGGGUGCACUUCGUGUACAAAACGGACAAUCUCUCUCGAAGUAUCAGGGUUUCGAACGAGAACUCAUCUCUUACAUGGAUACUAUGAAAAUGAAAAGUGUUUGAAAUUUAGUACAUUCCAUACAUGCAUUACAUAAAAGGUUUAAUACAUUAUUACAUUAUUGCACCAAUAUUCCUAUCUAUUAUUUCUGUUUUCUUCUGGGUCGUAGCCAUGGAGAAUCUUCAUCAUUCAGUAGGAUGCUUGGGUCAGUUUUCACUUUGAAGGGCGGAAUUUCAUGAAACUUAUUAUAAUCUUCUGACAUGUCUAUCUUGUCAUCUACUCCCACGAUGUUUCUUUUCACUGAAAGAACUAUGUGGCAUUUUGACUCAUCGGACGAUAUCUUCUUUUGCUGAUUUCUUUUUCUCGUUAAUGUAGACAUGUCCUUCACAUAGAAAACCUGAGCGACAUCAUUGGCUAGGACAAAUGGUUUGUCCAUGUACGCAAGAUUGUUGAGAUCCACUGUUGUCAUGCCGUACUUUUGGUGUACAACUACCCCGCCUCCUGUCAGCUUCACCCAUUUGCACCGAAACAAAGGGAUCUUAAAAGUAGGUCCAUAGUCAAGUUCCCAUAUCUCCUCUAUGUACCCGUAAUAUGUUUCCAAACAGUGCCCAUUCUCGUCUGUUGCAUCAAAGCGGACACCACUAUUUUGGUUGGUGCUCUUUUUAUCUUGGGCAACCGUGUAAAAUGUACUCCCAUUUAUCUCAUACCCUUGGAAAGUACAUAUAGUCGAAGAUGGUGGCCUGGCCAAACAGUACAACUCAUCUUCAACGGUGUUAUCAUUCAUGAGAUGUGUCUGCAACCAACUGCCGAAAGUCUUCUCGUGUUCCCCUUUAAUCCAAGAGUCAGCCUUCCCCGGGUUUUCGGAGCGUAGAAUAUUCUUGUGUCUCACGAUAUAUGGAACCACCACGGUGGAAUUGUGUAGAACUGUGUAGUGUUCUUGAGAGAAAGAAUGCCCGUCCAUACAUACUUUUGCUUUCCUUCCUAGUGUGCCUUUUCCUGUCAGCCUACCCUCAUACCGAGAUUCAGGAACACCAAUCGGCUUAAGGUCAGGAAGAAAGUCCACACAAAACUCAAUGACCUCCUCUGUUCUAUAGCCCUUGGAGAUGCUUCCUUCUGGCCUAGCACGGUUACGAACAUAUUUCUUUAAGACUCCCAUGAACCUCUCGAAGGGGAACAUAUUCUGUAGAAACACAGGACCAAGAAUUCUAAUCUCUUCGACUAGGUGAACUAGGAGGUGUGUCAUUAUAUUGAAGAAGGAUGGAGGGAACAACAACUCAAAGCUGACCAGACAUUGGACCACAUCAAUCUGUAACCCUGAUAGACUUUCUCGAUCGAUUACCUUCUAAGAAAUUGCAUUGAGGAAUGCACAUACCUUCACAAUUGCCAGGCGAACAUUUUCCGAUAGAAUUCCCCUCAAUGCAACCGGAAGCAAUUGCGUCAUAAGCACGUGGCAGUCAUGAGACUUUAGGUUUUGGAAUUUUUUGUCUUUCAUAUUUACGAUUCCCUUUAUAUUCGACGAGAAGCCAGUCGGGACCUUGAUACUGAACAGGACUUCGAAGAAGAUUUCCUUCUCUUUCUUAGUAAGAGCGUAGCUGGCACGCCCUUGAAACUGCCCUGGAUGCAUGCCAUCUCUUCCUUUAUGACGUUCCUGGUCCUCCCGUGCUUCCGGUGUAUCUUUUGACUUCCCAUACAAGCCCAAGAAGCCUAGAAUAUUCACGCAGAGAUUCUUCGUCAGGUGCAUCACGUCGAUUGCCGCGCGGACCUCAUGGACUUCCUAGUAGGGUAGCUUCCAAAAUAUAGAUUUCUUCUUCCACAUGGGUACGCGCUUAUCAGGGCCGUUAGGAACAGGUUGGCUGCCAGGACCCUUUCCAAAGAUUACUUUUAAAUCUUUGACCAUAUCAAAUACUUCAGCACCAGUACGGAUGACAGGCUUCCCCCGGGGUUCUGCCUUGCCAUUGAAAUGCUUGCCUUUUUUCUUUAAGGGAUGCUUGGGCGGAAGAAAACGACGAUUGUACGGAUACACAUUCUUCCUACAGUUGUCAAGAUAUAUACUUUCUGUCUGAUCCAAAUAGUGCGUGCAUGCAUUGUAUCCCUUGUUUGACUGUCCUGAAAUGUUACUAAGAGCAGGCCAAUCAUUGAUGGUUACGAAAAGCAACGCUCGAAGGUCAAAUUCCUCUUGUUUGUGCUCGUCCCACACACGUACACCUGGUUCGACCCACAGCUGUAAAAGUUCAUCAACUAAUGGCCUUAGGUACACAUCAAUAUCGUUGCCGGGUUGCUUUGGACCUUGUAUAAGCACUGGCAUCAUAAUGAACUUCCGCUUCAUGCACAACCAAGGAGGAAGGUUGUAGAUACAUAGAGUAACGGGCCAGGUGCUGUAACUGCAACUCUGCUCCCCAAAAGGAUUCAUGCCAUCUGUACUCAGACCUAACCAUAAGUUCCUUGCGUCAGCUGCAAAUCUCGGGAACUCUCUCUCGAUUUUUCUCCACUGCCGACCAUCAGCGGUGUGCCUCAACGUAUCGUCUUUCAUAGGAUCUUCCAUGUGCCAUCGCAACAACUUCGCAUGAUCUUUAUUUCUGAACAGACGUUUCAACCGUGGUAUUAUAGGAGCAUACCACAUCACCUUGACAGGAACCCUCUUCCUGGGUGGCUCGCCCUCAAUAUCACCAGGGUCAUCUUUUCUGAUCUUAUACCGCAAUGUAGUGCAUACCGGGCAUUUAUCCAUAUUCUCGUACUUCUCACCGCGGUAGAGGAUGCAGUCAUUAGGGCAUGCAUGUAUCUUCUGCACAUCUAAUCCUAGAGGGCAGACAAGCUUUUUUGCUUCAUACGUGUUGGCGGGCAAUUCGUUCUUUCUUGGAAGCAUCUUCUUCAUCAGUACCAGCAACUUUUCGAAUGACGAGUCAGUCACACCGGUCUCUGCCUUCCACUUCAGCAAUUCCAGUGUGCUACCCAGCUUCUUCUGGCCAUCUUUACAAGUUGGGUACAACAAUUUGUUGUGGUCCUGUAACAUCUGCUCGAACUGCAACCUCUCCUUUUCUGUGUCGCAACCUCGCCGUGCAUCAGAAAUGACCCGGCCAAGAUCAUCAGCGGGCUCAUCUGGUUCCCGUUCUUCAUCCUGAUCUUCUUCUUCAUUGUGUUCCAUUGCGGUAUCAACAUACUCAGGGAACAUAGAUCGGUAGUUGUCAUCAUCGUUCUCUUCUUCUUCAUCGUCGUCUUCCAUCAUAACCCCUCUUUCUCCGUGCUUGGUCAAUACAUUAUAGCCCGACAUAAAACCGGACCGAAGCAGGUGGCUCUGAAUGACUAUUGAGGAAGUGUAAUCCUUCUCAUUCUGACAUUCAACACAUGGACAAAACAUAUAGCCACCACCACGCUUGUUCGCAUCGGCUGCAUCUCGAAAAGAAUGCACGCCUUCUCUGUAAGCGGUUGUGCGUCGAGCAUCGUACAUCCAUGGAUGGCUCAUCUCUGCGUUAUACGACAGUAUAUCAAAUACAAUCACGAUCCUAAAAAUUAGUACCGCACGGUCUAAACGAGGAAAUAUAGUUGCUAACCUUUUAGANNNNNNNNNNNNNNNNNNNNNNNNNNNNNNNNNNNNNNNNNNNNNNNNNNNNNNNNNNNNNNNNNNNNNNNNNNNNNNNNNNNNNNNNNNNNNNNNNNNNACUUUCACCCCCGCGAGAGCUCAAACCGCUUCCAUGGAUGGUCCCAUCAAAGAUGCAGAACUAUUGCCUGCACCAUCGGCAUUUGCCGCCGGCCUCGUCCCAGCUGAAACGUCCUGCAACGGUGGAAUAGGAUCGGUCCUAGGUGGAUCCCAACACGGGUAUGCCCGUCUCCCACCCCCGCGCCCACCAUGAUUCAGGCGCUGCACCGGUCACUAGCGGAAUAGUGGACCCUUAACACCCUCGACAAACUGGCCAGGAGGGCCAUUGAAUCCCCAGCCACCUCCAUCACCUCGGCCACCGCCGUUGGAAAAAGAACCAGGGUGCAUGCCAUCACCUCUCCAUGAGGCAUUGAAGUUGUUGUUACCCCACUGCCCGCGAUUGUAGUGAUGUCCACCCCCCGCCUGCGUUGAGAAACCUUUGGCCCAGACCAAAUUCCUCGCGUCCGCGGCCAGCCCCAUGUGCGCGAGCAUUUGCGGCCGCCGCCCGACCGUCCCUAGCAGGAGGUGGAGGUCGUUCGGUUUCUGCCUUACCCGGCGGGGCCCCUGACGGUACGAAAAUGGCCUACCGCCGCAAGGGCUGGAGAUAGCAUGUGUAACCCUACCGCCAAGGGGUCCGGCGGUAGGCUCGCACGCGCACUGUGUUUGCAACUUAGAAUUUUUUUUGUGGUAGGUGUGUAACCCUACCACCAGGACCUCUGCGAUAAGUUGUUAUACCCUACCGCCAAGGGGUCCGGCGGUAGAAAAAGGAUCAGAUCCAAUUUUUUUCCUUACUAGGGUCAGAUCCGGCUGAACUUAGGCAAAAGAAAAUUUGCCUAAACUAGCCCCGGGUUUGCCGCCCUAUCUAGCUUGGAGGGCUUGACGUUCAUGGCCUACAUCGCGCUGGCAUCUCGCUCCAUGCAAGAUGGAUUUGUAUGCAACGGGUUGAGAGCAUCUCCCAUCCCCCACGCGCCAUGGCCCAAACGCGUCGCCGAUCGUGCGGACUUCUACUUCCUGACACCUUGGGGAUGGCUCCUUAUGCCGCUUCUGGACUGACCACUGGCUUCACGGUUGUACCAUUACCGAAAUUACAUCGUUCAUUCACGACUUGGUCCCCCGUCGAAGGCACACGCUGCAGACGGUGCAACAUGUUUUGCACGAGCGCGCGUGGAUCAGAGAAAUCAUGGGCAUGCUUGAUCCGGCGGCUCAGGUGGUGCAGUACGUUGAGCUACGGAGGACUCUAUAUUACUCCCUCCGUCCGAAAUUACUUUUCAUGAAAAUGAAUACAAAUGGAUGUAUCUAGAAUUAAAAUACAUCUAGAUACAUCCAUUCCCAUGACAAGUAUUUCCGGACGGAGAGAGUAUAUCAUUCUCUCCCCCACCCCCGAUCGGCUUACUUGGAGACGGACGGAGUCUGACACCUACUCUCUCACGUCCUGCUACUAUGUCAUGUUUCACAAUUCUUUUGAGGACCUUGACUGGUGGAUCGCCUGGAAGACCAGGUCUCUACCGCAUAUCAAGGUCUUCAUUUCGCUCGCCCUGCUAAACCCCUACAUGACACGGCCUUCUAUAUGCGCCGCUUUGCCUCUUCCGUGACCAGGAGACCAAGAGCAUGCACCACCUUCUUGUUGCUUCCUCCUUCUCGUCUUCUCGAGGCAACUAUAGCAUGAGCUUCUCUCAUGGUGUUGGUGCACCUCUGCUCCACCGCUACAGGAUGAUCGUUUCCAGGUUUCGUGGUCUCCCACUUGCGUUGCAGCGCCUCCGUUAGCUCGCAAGGGGCUCUCCUCCCUACUCCUUCUUGGCGCAUGGCUGAUCUUGAAACAUCGUAAUGACAUCAUGUUCGAUGGCGAUGCCCCCUCCCUCCCACAUCUGAUUAGCCUCAUCAUCGGCGAAGCCUGCCUAGGCUGUCGCUAGCAAUAAUGGCAUGGCCAACAUCUUGCCCGAGUAGUCUCCAUGUGGUGAUGUAACACCUCCUCUCUCUCCCCUAGCACAUUCCGGACUCGGACUUCUGAUGGGGUUCUUGUAUUCUUUCCCUACUAUUAAUCAAAAGAUACGCAGGUUCUUGCGUAUUCGAGUAAUGGUUUUGUCUCAUUUACUCGUGAUGUUGCCUCACCUCCGCCAUUAUCGGAUUGAAACUAGCUAACAAGUUGACCAGCCGACAUCCCAAUCGCACAGUAUGUGUUCGGUAGGGUGAAUGAGCUCCUAAGUUCUCAACACAAGGCUUUUUUGACUGUUUGGUAGGAUGUAUGGGCUCACCUCGACUAUAUCCAUCAAAUGCAAAAAGGCCUCUCACCGUGUUGAGUUAAGCACACCCACAUGCAUGGAAGCAGCCACGACUCUCAAAAAAUGUUCAGUACUUAAAGUUUUGUUUAAAUUCUCACAAAAAAUUAGAAAUUCAUUUUUGUUUCAGUUUUUAAAAAAUGUUCAGAAUUUAAGUAUUUAUUCAGAUCUACACAAAAUGUUCAGAAUCUAAAAUAUUAUUUAAAUUCCCAAAAACCAUAUUUAAAAUUUGUUUAAAUUCUCAGCAAAGUUCCAUAAAUUCAAAAACAAAUCAAACAUAUUCAAAAUUUGUUUAGAUUUCCCAAAAAUGUUCAGAAUUUCAAUUUUUAUAUAUAUCUUCAAAAAAUAUUUAGGAUUUUGACCUUUGCUUAAAUUCUCAAAAAAAUAGAAUUUCGAUAUUUGUUUAAAUUCUCGAAAAAAUCAGAAUUUCAAAACUGUAUCAAAAAAAUGUUCUGAUUUCUAAUUUUUGUUAAAUUCUCAAAAUGUAUUCAGAAUUUCAUUUCUUCAAAAUUCUCCAGGAAAAUCGUAAUUUUAAAUUAAAAAUAAACAGAAUAAAAAGCAAUUUUCAAAAAAUGUUCAGAAUUUCAAAUUUGGUUUACAUUUUUAAAAAUGUUCAGAAUUUCAAUUUUUUAAAAAUUCUCAGAAAAUAUUCAAAUUUUGAAAUAUAUUUAAAUUACCUGAAAUUGUUUUGAAUUUGAAAUAUAGAAAAGUUAAAUUCGUUCACAAUUUGAAAAAUGACCAAAAUUUCAAAUUUUGCUUAAAUUCUGAAAAAAUCAGAAUUUAUACAAAUAAAUGUACAUAAUUCUCAUAAUUUCGAAAUUGGUUUACAUUCUCAAACAAACACAGAAUUUCAGAAUUUUCUGAAUUCAAUUUUUGUUUAAAUUUCCCAAAACAGAAUUCCAAAAUGUGUUUAAAUUUUCAAAAGCAUAUUUACAAAUAUAUUUUUUUUAAAUCAAAAUUACAAAAUGUGUUUAAAUUUUUGUUGAUGUUUUUCAAUAUUCGUUCAUCAUAUAAAAACAUAUUCAAAAUUCAAAUUUGCUCAACAUGUUUAAACACAUGCAGGUUGCCAAACGAAGUCUCGGCUCAGUAUGUCUCAGUAUAUACAUCGCUACCAAACAAUAUCAAAUGCAUGUACUCAACAUGUCAUAAAGAGGAACAACAAUGUUACUCAGCAUGUCAUAAAGAGGAACAACAAUGUUACGGUGGGAACUACUGCCAAACAAACCCAAAAGCGGCAGCCAACCCGAUGCCGGUAGUGACCAUCCUCUGAGGCAUGACUUAAGCACGACUUAGAGCGUGGUUAAUAAUAUAGCCAAAAAUCGGUUAUAAGGACUUGUCAUGUCAUAUAGAGUCAACCUAAUAGCCAGCAUAUACAAUAGUAAGUUUUAGAUGUGUACUAUAUUAAUAGUAGUUGGUCCACCUUAUAAUCUCACAAAGUGUCUUGGGUCUCGUGCUGCAGUUGGCUACUCACCAAGAGCGUGUUUGAUUACAUUGGCAAUCGAACCUGGCCCGGCUAGCCUCGCUCUAGUGAGCCGGUUUGAGGGGAUGCAGGCAAAAAAAAACCAGAUGCACAUAGUUUGGUUGCCUGCAUGUACCUUAGUUGCAUGAGACAACCAUUUUUAACCCGACGUUUGGUUGCCCGCAUUACAUUAGGCGCACAUAUGACAUGGUGUUUGGUUGCAACCUGCAUAUGUUGUUGUCACCACUUCUAACUAGUGGUGAUUUUACCACACACAAUCUGAACAUUAGUGCCAGCUAGUUCAAAUGACAGCUAAUCCUAACUACUAUCAAAUGACAGAACAAAUUAUUAAGAGCCAUUGACUAAAUAGGGGAUAGUUCAUCGGUGUUGCUGCUACCAGAUCUUCCUCUUCAUCUUCCUCUUCCUCUGCUUCUGCUUCUUCUUCUUCCUCUUCUUCAAAUCAUGCACUGACCUCUGUUAAGCCACAUUACCUCUGCCCACUCCAACCUUUUGUUCUUCCAAGCUUCAUUGCCAAAUGCCUCCACACCAUGGCCGGAGCUAACAACAUGGUUAGGCUCGACCUCUUCCUCCUCAGGCACGUGUUCGUCAAAGCCCCACUGAAGGAUCCAGUUAUGCAUAAUGCAACAAGCAAGAACAAGCUUAACCUGAGUGGGGUAUGGGUGGAAUGGCUUCUGAUCCAGGAUCCUAAAACUAUUCUUCAGAGCUCCAAAUGCCCUCUCACGGUUACUCUAAGGCUGGAGUGUGUGAGAUUAAACAGCUCCUGUGCAGUCCUAGGAUAAUUCCUACCACUGAACUCGUUGAGAUGGUACCUGGUUUUCCUGAAGGGUGGAAGAACACCCGACCGACAUGCAUAGCCAGCAUGUCCAAGGUAGAACUUGUCGUCGGGGAUGUUGGUCCCAUCAGGUCGAGUCAUGCUGUCACUGAGAAUGUUAGCAUCAUGCGCUGGCCCCUCCCAGCCAGCCAACACAUAUGUGAGCUUCAUAUCAAAGUCAACAGCAGCAAGCACAUUCUGGCUUGUGUAGUGCUUCCUCCCUCUGUAUGCUGCAGACUGUGACCUAGGAACUCUCGAGUGACAUGAGUACCAUCUAUUGCCCCAAUGCAAUCCUAAAAAUGGCAUCACAAGCCUGUGUUAGUGCUCAACUUGAACAAUACAAGCAUAUCAACCCAUGAAAAGUGUAUAUUGUCAGUGCUCACCUUGAAGUAUGGAUACCAUCUUGGGCUUCCUCGAAUCUUGGGUGGAGUCCGGCCAGAUGGUCUCCUGAUAAUCUCUCCUCUAAGCUCCCCAACAGCAAAAAGCACCUCCUUGAAGUACCUAGAGAUGGUCUCCAUUGGUCUCCUGAACGUGUUGUGAAUGACCCUGAACCUCUGGUUAUGGCCAACAACAUGGAGGAACAUUGCCACUUGCUCUUCCAGACAGGUGUUGAUGUUAUCUUGUAGCAGCCCCCUGAUCCUGAAGGUCUCGACAAGCCUGGCAAAUGGUGCUCUUUUCAUUCGAAGCAUCCACAGAGCCUCGACGUCAUUGCAGUUGUAGAUGUAGUUCAAAUUUUGGAUCCUUUCCUGAUCCCGGAUAAACAUUGGACCAUAGCAGAUCAAAGGUCUUCCAACACGACGAACAACUCUCUGGUGCAUGAACAUGACACAUGCCUGAAUCACACUUAUCAGUGCUGCUGCCUGAAAUAUCGGACUCAUCCGUCGUCCAUAACCUAGUCGACAUUGAUGGUUCGUUCAGUGGAAAUCGAUCCUACACCUUGCCUAACGGCCUAACCACCAACCUAACAAAGGGGGGAGGGGUGCUGCUUACCGGCAUCGGAGACGAGGACGGCCUAGGGUGAGCCAUGGCCAACAGCAAUUGGAGCACCAGAUCCGCCGCAAACGUCGCCGCCUUUUCCACCACCGCCGCCGCCUUUAGCGCAGAUCUGAAAUCGCAGCCGCCGCCGGUGGUGAGGUAGUAGGGAAGAAAGGGGCUAUGGGUGAGCGAGUAGAAAGGGGGGUGAGGCUAAUUUGGUGCCGGGGUGGCCAGAUUUCCAUCUCCCGCCAUCCCCCUCGCCCUCGCAUCGCACCCGUCCGUGCGACCUCACGCCGCACUCAGCCUGGCUCGAUUGAAACUGCCGAUCCGAUCGUUUCCAGCGAGCCAGGCUCUGGGCUGCUUUGAGAAGCGUGCGAUGCAGGCCCAACAGUGAAACCAAGCAACCAAACAUGCCUCUUCCUUCCCGCGCGGGCCUGGUUGGGCUCGAUGCGGGGAACCAAACGCGCCCCAAGAGCACGCUUCUCUUCACUCUCCUCCUCUCUCUCUUUCAACUAAGCAAGGAUAUAAUAUUCUAAUUUUUAUAACCUGCUUAUGUCACCUUAUUGUACUUGCUCUUAAGCUAAGAGCAUGGACCGGAGAGAGGAUGGCGGCAUGCAAGCCACAAAAGGAGAGUGAGACGAUGGCGACCUGGACGAAAGGUUCCCUAUUUUGAUUGGUCAUGUGCUCACCCUGCCAAAACAAGGGCGCGCCAAUUAUUGGCAAACGUUUUAGCCGUCAUGUGGAUCGCCGUUGCAGGCGCAGAAUACAACAGGGUGACCAAAAUAUCGGUAGAAAUUCGAAAUUUUGGAAGCUAACCAAACAUGAGCAGAGCGUAUGGGUCAAACAUGAGCAGAGUAAAUAAACUGGUAGGACCAGUACUAAUCAGUAAUCACCGUAUUCCCCUCUAGAAAAGACAUCACGAUAUUCCCUGUACCGUCCACAGAUAUUUGCAUACACAUUCACAGUUCAACUAAACCUCGAGAUACAAAUGAAGAACCUAACGAGCAAUGUCAUGUCUAUUCGCAGGUUCAAUCCGCAGAUAUCUGCAUACGCAUUCACAGUUCAACUAAACCUGACGAGCAAUGUUAUGUCUAUUCGCAUGUUCGUGUAAUACGUCCAUCAUAGGCACACCAAUAUGUCUGACAACCAUAUUAUGUAGUAACGCAACCAAAAUGAGAUUUCACCGGUACGAAGUGGUUUAUCACACAUGAAGCAUCAUGCCGUUGCCGCCGACCUGAAAAAGGAGUGGUGAGGUGAAAGAUGAUUAGAACCAUGCAACCGAGGCAUGAUUACAUAUGUGAAAUCAUCCGCACAAAAUAUUUCUGAGAUGCAUCUACGUAAGCUUUCAUGCUGGUACAAAAUAUAAAGCUAAGGUUUUCACUUCUGAGUUCUGACUCCAAUAAACAGACAGCAGUUAGUUUAGAGAACAAGGAGGUAACCAAAUAGUACAUGCUACCGGAAUAUGCUUUCACCCAAAACACACAGAGAACAGAGGUGGAGCCGAAAUACUUGUAUGCAUCAAAUGGUUUCGUGUGUAUAUCGGUAUAUACAGCUACUUGAAUCUGCUAAUAAUCAUGCUAAUCAAACUAUAGCAAAAAGAAUGAGCGAACACUGAACAAUUACUAAUAUAACAUAAUCAGCGCAAACACAGGCCAAGCAAGGGCACAACCAAAAUUUGAUUCUCCACAGAAGACUAGGAGCUUACUUUGACCAUCUCACAAAAUUUGCCAAAAAUUGGCAAAUCUUGGAGUUGCAAUAUUUUUUGCUACCAACCAAUCAUGCUCUAGAAAUUGUUCAUCCACAGCUGUUCGAGUUUCAGUGUUAUUCAAAGUCAUGUUGCAGAUAUAGCUUAUUAGGCAUUUCUCUACUCAGAUUUGUUUAGCUAGACUCAGUUAUACAAAAUUUAUAAUCACCAAGUGAAUAUCAAAGGGGGGACGGGUGAAUAACAAUGCUAGUAGGCAGUAGUACAUGAAUGAAUGAAUACUUAGCAAUGCAGAUUUUCCUUUGUUGUACUUCAAACAGUAAUAAUCUGUUUGCUAGCAGAUAUGUCAACUGAUCUUUUUAGAUCUUCAGUCAGGCUGCAUUUAUAGCAGAUUAGGCAUUUUUCUCAUGAACAUUAAUUUGCUAAUACAAAUGUUUUUAUACUAUAUUAAAAAAAACAAAAGGAAGUGUCAAUGUACAAAAGAAGAUGAUAAGGAAUGCAAACAUAUGGUCUAUCAAACUUUUUGUAAUGACAAACAAAAUUUCAGUAAAAGGGAUAUUAUUUGAUGCAUUCAGAACUUUGUACGAAGGGAACAUGAAGAUACUCGUUAUACCAGGCAAUUUCACCCGGGUAACCACAUAAUGCUCACUCACAUCCUAAUUGUCACUCAAAUCGAUUGCAACUGUACCAUCUACCAGCACCCACUAACAAGAACCACCAAUGAAGAAAGAGUAUUCAAGUUUUUCACUAAGCACGGGAAAGAGGAAGAACUUCAUUCUGCCACAGCUUGACAUACAGACUCAUCAUCUAUGAGAAGGCAAUGAAGUAGAGCCUGGAGAAAACAUCCAGGAGACAGAGAUUCAUGGAAGCAUGACGGGAGGCUGCUAGGUGGGCAAUAGUUGAACAAAUGGUUGUAGAGAGAAUCAUAGAGUUCUCUCUUGAAAUUUUGUACUUGAGAAAUGGUAAUAAAAGUUAAAGUGAGACAUUUUCGUAACAGAACAGUUCAGAUGCCUCAACUUGCAUGCAGGGGUUAAGCUUACCUGCUCAAACAGAAUAAUCCUCUUAUGCUUUGUUUCCAUCGUUUCCACCACGAGCGCCUCACAGGUUCAGGUUCAAGUUCAGGUUCAGGUUCCUCUUGUCCACCACCAAUGCCUGUUAUACAUGCAUAAGAAGUCAAACGACCAAUGGCAUUCCAGAGAAAAGGGCCAAAUAGACACAAGGAUGCACAAACAAGAUACUUGGAUCAACUCACAGCUGUAAUUUAAGAAACGAAAUAUUUUUGAUAAAAAAAUGGAUGGAUAAGCAGAACCACACCCGCUGUCAAAUUCAAAGAAUAUUCUGAAAACAGUAGAUGCUCAUUAUAUCAUAGAAGUGAAGAACAUGCACACUUGGACUGUUAUCUGAUCACAAAAGAAGGGGAGUUGUCUAGAAUUAUCUUAUUUUCGUUCCACUCCAUACCGAAUAACACAAAAUAAUUCCUACCAACAGAAGUGAUCAUGAUCAUUUAGAUUCAGAUUAUCGUUUAAAAAAAUAGCCUGAAAAGAUGAACUGAACUUGAUUUAUUAACUUUGCCUGGUACAUAUCUCAUCUUGAAAAGAGAAAAACUGCACUGCAGCUAUGCGCUAACGCUGUGAUUAUACAUCUCUUGCACAUUUCAGUAGGCAGGCAACUAUGUAAUUCAGUUCAAUUAUCAUACAACGAAUUAGCCAACCUUGGUGUUGACCGUAUCGCAUUUCAUACCAUCUAUAUAUCAUGUUUAACUGAUGUGGGGUCAAUCCCCUAGCGAUAGUUCAAAGUUGGAUGAUAAAACAACAAUAUUAGAAACAACAUUUGCAGGUAUGGAGGAGAUAUGUUGCAGAGGCCAUGAAGCAGCGAAAGAAACAAGUGAUAUUAAUGCUACCUAAAAUGGCCAGCUUAACACAAAAGGAUAUAAACAACAUUUAAUCAGCCAAUUAUGAUAGAACAACUCAAUUUUGUCACAACCACUGUGAAAAGGCAUGCUAGUACCUGGGGUAUAGACUGUUUCGAAUGGAUGAUGAUGAUAACCAGAGAUGCCGGUCUCAGAAAGUCUCUUGAGCUCCAGUGACUUGAGGUGGAACGUGAAGACACCAAGAACUGUCCAGAAGAAGGCCACAUUGUUUUCCUCCGCAUAACAUAACAUAAGCGGGUUCUCUGGCUCUGGGGGAAGUAAGCUGUCCAAAUCAACAGUUCUUCCAGGCAUCCAUGAACCAACACCAUCACAGUCUGUCUCCCACCUCCAUAACUGGGCAGUGAAGCCAACCACGUCGAGGAAACCCAUCGCACCACCCUCUCCCCGAAUGACCGCGCACUGCUGACUGCUGCCGUGAAGCAUGCCCGGUGGAACCACUGUCGAAGCUAGGCUCUGCCUGCCCAAAUCGAACUCCAGGAUAGUCGUCAGAGAAAUCAGCCAGUAAAUGCGAUCCCCAGCCAGCACAGAGGGCGCGGAAUGAAGCAUGGUCGCGUACGGAAGCUCCGCGGAGAUGAAAUCACCCCAUAAGCCGGUGUCCGAGGAGUAAACGCAGGCGCGCGCUGGCCCUCUCCCGUCGCUGGUCGCCAGGACCACCUGGAAGCGGUCGGCGGCGUCGUCUCCGGUGGCGCCGCGAAGCACCGCCCCGUUGAUCGGGUUGUGCAAAGGGUCGGGCUCGAACCCCUGGGGAAUGUCGAGGCGGUGGCGGGCGCCGGCGAGGGGGUCCCAGACGAGGACCUGGUAGGAGGCCUCGGAGUAGAAGAGCGCGAGGCCGUGGCGCCACCCGAGGGUCUCGUAGCCGGCGCCGAGGGCGAGGGAGAAGUGGCNNNNNNNNNNNNNNNNNNNNNNNNNNNNNNNNNNNNNNNNNNNNNNNNNNNNNNNNNNNNNNNNNNNNNNNNNNNNNNNNNNNNNNNNNNNNNNNNNNNNGAUGAGGUUGAAGCGUCGUUUGAUGUGUCUGGUCUUCUUGUGAAACCGUGGUUCCUUUGCUAAGGCAAUGGCACCACUGUUGUCACAGAACAAGGUUAUUGGAUUCAGUGUGCUUGGCACCACUCCAAGAUCCGUCAUGAACUGCUUCAUCCAGACACCCUCCUUAGCCGCCUCCGAAGCAGCCAUGUACUCCGCUUCACAUGUAGAAUCUGCUACAACGCUUUGCNNNNNNNNNNUGGCCGUGGAAGAGGUUUAGUCAGCGGGUCUGCUACAUUCAGAUCCGUGUGCACUUUGCAUAUAUUUACGUCCUCCCCUUCGACGUAGUCGCGGAUGAGGUUGAAGCGUCGUUUGAUGUGUCUGGACUUCUUGUGAAACCGUGGUUCCUUUGCUAAGUCAAUGGCACCCGUGUUAUCACAGAACACGGUUAUUGGAUUCAGUGCGCUUGGCACCACUCCAAGAUUCGUCAUGAACUGCUUCAUCCAGACACCCUCCUUAGCCGCCUCCGAGGCAGCCAUGUACUCCGCUUCACAUGUAGAAUCUGCUACGACGCUUUGCUUGGAACUGCACCAGCUUACCGCACCCCCAUUAAGAAUAAAUACGUAUCCGGUUUGCGACUUAGAGUCGUCCGGAUCUGUGUCAAAGCUUGCAUCGACGUAACCUUUUACGGCGAGCUCUUCGUCACCUCCAUACACGAGAAACAUCUCCUUAGUCCUUUUCAGGUACCUCAGGAUAUUCUUGACCGCUGUCCAGUGAUCCACUCCUGGAUUACUCUGGAACCUACCUGCCAUACUUAUGGNNNNNNNNNNUUCAGGAUAUUCUUGACCGCUGUCGAGUGAUCCACUCCUGGAUUACUCUGGAACCUACCUGCCAUACUUAUGGCCAGGCUAACAUCCGGUCUAGUGCACAACAUCGCAUACAUGAUAGAACCUAUGGCUAAAGCAUAGGGGACGGAGCGCAUAUGCUCUCUAUCUUCAUCAGUUGCUGGGCACUGAGUCUUACUCAAUCUCGUACCUUGUAGAACUGGCAAGAACCCUUUCUUGGACUGUUCCAUUUUGAACCUCUUCAAAACUUUAUCAAGGCAUGUGCUUUGUGAAAGUCCUAUCAGGCGUUUUGAUCUAUCCCUAUAGAUCUUAAUGCCUAGAAUGUAAGCAGCUUCUCCUAGGUCCUUCAUACAGAAACUUUUAGUCAAGUAAUCCUUUAUGCUCUCUAAAAACUCUACGUUGUUUCCAAUCAGUAAUAUGUCAUCCACAUAUAAUAUUAGAAACGCCACAGAGNNNNNNNNNNGGCGUUCUGAUCUAUCCCUAUAGAUCUUAAUGCCUAGAAUGUAAGUAGCUUCUCCUAGGUCCUUCAUAGAGAAACUUUUAUUCAAGUAAUCCUUUAUGCUCUCCAAAAACUCUACGUUGUUUCCAAUCAGCAAUAUGUCAUCCACAUAUAAUAUUAGAAAUGCCACAGAGCUCCCACUCACUUUCUUGCAAAUACAAGAUUCUCCAACCACUUGUAUAAACCCAAAUGCUUUGAUCANNNNNNNNNNGAGAAACUUUUAUUCAAGUAAUCUUUUAUGCUCUCUAAAAACUCUACGUUGUUACCAAUCAGUAAUAUGUCAUCCACAUAUAAUAUUAGAAACGCCACAGAGCUCCCACUCACUUUCUUGUAAAUACAAGAUUCUCCAACCACUUGUAUAAACCCAAAUGCUUUGAUCACCUCAUCAAAGCGUUUGUUCCAACUCCGAGAUGCUUGCACCAGUCCAUAAAUGGAUCGCUGGAGCUUGCACACCUUGUUAGCAUUCUUAGGAUCGACAAAAACUUCGGGUUGUAUCAUAUACAAUUCUUCCUUAAGGAAACCGUUAAGGAACGCCGUUUUGACAUCCAUCUGCCAGAUUUCAUAAUCGAAAAAUGCAGCUAUUGCUAACAUGAUUCUGACGGACUUAAGCAUCGCUACGGGUGAGAAUGUCUCAUCGUAGUCAACUCCUUGAACUUGUGAAAAACCCUUUGCCACAAGUCGAGCUUUAUAAACGGUCACAUUUCCGUCAGCGUCCGUCUUCCUCUUAAAGAUCCAUUUGUUCUGAAUGGCCUUGCGGCCCUCAGGCAGUCUCUCCAAAGUCCACACUUUGUUCUCAUACAUGGAUCCUAUCUCGGACUUNNNNNNNNNNACCGUCAGCGUCCGUCUUCCUCUUAAAGAUCCAUUUGUUUUGAAUGGCCUUGCGGCCCUCAGGCAGUACCUCCAAAGUCCAUACUUUGUUCUCAUACAUGGAUCCUAUCUCGGAUUUCANNNNNNNNNNAAGGUUUAUAAACGGUCACAUUGCCGUCAGCGUCCGUCUUCCUCUUAAAGAUCCAUUUGUUCUGAAUAGCCUUGCGGCCCUCAGGCAGUACCUCCAAAGUCCACACUUUGUUCUCAUACAUGGAUCCUAUCUCGGACUUCAUGGCUUCCAGCCAUUUGUUGGAAUCUGGGCCCACCAUUGCUUCUUCAUAAUUCGCAGGUUCAUUGUUGUCUAACAACAUGAUUGAUAAGACGGGAUUAUCGUACCACUCUGGAGCAGCACGUGGUCUCGUCGACCAGCGUGGUUCGACAGAAACUUGAACUGGAGUUUCAUGAUCAUCAUCAUUAACUUCCUCCUCAACCGGUGUCGCAAUGACAGGGGUUUCCCCUUGCCCUGCGCCACCAUCGAGAGGGAUGAGAGGUUCGACAACCUCGUCAAAUUCUAUCUUCCUCCCACUCAAUUCUCUCGAGAGAAACUCCUUCUCGAGNNNNNNNNNNCGAUAAGACGGGAUUACCGUACCACUCUGGAGCAGCACGUGAUCUCGUCGAUCUACGUGGUUCAACAGAAACUUGAACUGGAGUUUCAUGAUCAUCAUCAUUAACUUCCUCCUCAACCGGCGUCGCAAUGACAGAGGUUUCCCCUUGCCCUGCGCCACCAUCCAGAGGGAUGAGAGGUUCGACAACCUCGUCAAGUUCUAUCUUCCUCCCACUCAAUUCUCUCGAGAGAAACUCCUUCUCGAGAAAAGCUCCGUUUUUAGCAACAAACACUUUGCCCUCGGAUUUGAGAUAGAAGGUGUACCCAACCGUCUCUUUCGGGUAACCUAUGAAGACGCACUUUUCCGCUUUGGGUUCCAGCUUUUCAGGCUGAAGCUUUUUGACAUAAGCAUCACAUCCCCAAACUUUAAGAAANNNNNNNNNNUGGGUAACCCAUGAAGAUGCACUUUUCCACUUUGGGUUCCAGCUUUUUAGGCUGAAGCUUUUUGACAUAAGCAUCACAUCCCCAAACUUUAAGAAACGACAACUUUGGCCUUUUGCCAUACCACAGUUCGUAUGGUGUCGUCUCAACGGAUUUUGAUGGUGCCCUAUUUCAAGUGAAUGCAGCUGUUUCUAAUGCAUAGCCCCAAAAUGAUAACGGCAAAUCAGUAAGAGACAUCAUAGAUUGCACCAUCUCUAAUAGAGUACGAUUACGACGUUCGGACACACCAUUACGCUGUGGUGUUCCAGGCGGUGUUAACUGUGAAACAAUUCCACAUUGUCUUAAGUGAGUUCCAAACUCGAAACUCAGAUAUUCACCCCCACGAUCAGACCGCAGGAACUUGNNNNNNNNNNACCCCAAAACGAUAACGGCAAAUCGGUAAGAGACAUCAUAGAUCGCACCAUCUCUAAUAAAGUACGAUUACAACGUUCGGACACACCAUUAUGCUGUGGUGUUCCAGGCGGUGUCAACUGUGAAACAAUUCCGCAUUGUCUUAAGUGAGCACCAAACUCGAAACUCAGAUAUUCACCCCCACGAUCAGACCGUAGGAACUUGAUCUUCUUGUUACGAUGAUUUUCAACUUCACUCUGAAAUUGCUUGAACUUUUCAAAUGUUUCAGACUUGUGCNNNNNNNNNNAUCUUCUUGUUACGAUGAAUUUCCACUUCACUCUGAAAUUGCUUGAACUUUUCAAAUGUUUCAGACUUGUGCUUCAUCAAGUAGACAUAACCAUAUCUACUUAAAUCGUCAGUGAAGGUGAGAAAAUAACGAUAUCCGCCGCGUGCCUCCACGCUCAUCGGACCACACACAUCGGUAUGUAUGAUUUCCAACAAGUCACUUGCACGCUCCAUUGUUCCUGAGAACGGAGUCUUAGUCAUCUUGCCCAUGAGGCAUGGUUCGUACGUGUCAAGUGAAUCAAAGUCAAGUGACUCCAAAAGUCCAUCAGCAUGGAGUUUCUUCNNNNNNNNNNNNNNNNNNNNCGGUGCUCACUUAAGACAAUGUGGAAUUAUUUCACAGUUAACACCGCCUGGAACACCACAGCGUAAUGGUGUGUCCGAACGUCGUAAUCGUACUCUAUUAGAGAUGGUGCGAUCUAUGAUGUCUCUUACUGAUUUGCCCUUAUCAUUUUGGGGCUAUGCAUUAGAAACAGCUGCAUUCACUUUAAAUAGGGCACCAUCAAAAUCCGUUGAGACGACACCAUACGAACUGUGNNNNNNNNNNNNNNNNNNNNNNNNNNNNNNNNNNNNNNNNNNNNNNNNNNNNNNNNNNNNNNNNNNNNNNNNNNNNNNNNNNNNNNNNNNNNNNNNNNNNUCGUGCGCGUAGGAAAAUUUUUGUUUCCCAUGCGACGUUCCCCAACAGUGGCAUCAUGAGCUAGGUUCAUGCGUAGAUGUCUUCUCGAGUAGAAGACAAAAGUUUUUGUGGGCGGUGAUGUGCGUUUUGCUGCCCUCCUUAGUCUUUUCUUGAUUCCGCGGUAUUGUUGGAUUGAAGCGGCUUGGACCGACAUUACUCGUACGCUUACGAGAGACUGGUUUCAUCGUUACGAGUAACUCCGUUGCUCAAAUAUGACUGGCAAGUGUCGGUUUCUCCAACUUUAGUUGAAUCGGAUUUGACCGAGGAGGUCCUUGGAUGAGGUUAAAUAGCAACUCAUAUAUCUCCGUUGUGGUGUUUGCGUAAGUAAGAUGCGAUCCUACUAGAUACCCAUGGUCACCACGUAAAACAUGCAACAACAAAAUUAGAGGACGUCUAACUUGUUUUUGCUGGGUAUGCUUGUGAUGUGAUAUGGGCAAUGAUGUGAUGUGAUAUAUUGGAUGUAUGAGAUGAUCAUGUUGUAAUAGAAAUAUCGACUUGCACGUCGAUGGUACGGCAACCGGCAGGAGCCAUAGGGUUGUCUUUAUACUAACGUGUGUGCUUGCAGAUGCGUUUACUAUUUUGCUAGGAUGUAGCUUUAGUAGUAAUAGCAUGAGUAGCACGACAACCCCGAUGGCAACACGUUNNNNNNNNNNUUAGAGAACGUCUAACUUGUUUUUGCAGGGUAUGCUUGUGAUGUGAUAUGGCCAAUGAUGUGAUGUGAUAUAUUGGAUGUAUGAGAUGAUCAUGUUGUAAUAGAAAUAUCGACUUGCACGUCGAUGGUACGGCAACCGGCGGGAGCCAUAGGGUUGUCUUUAUACUAAUGUGUGUGCUUGCAGAUGCGUUUACUAUUUUGCUAGGAUGUAGCCUUAGUAGUAAUAGCAUGAGUAGCACGACAACCCCGAUGGCAACACGUUGAUGGAGAUCAUGGUGUGGCGCCGGUGACAAGAAGAUCGUGCCGGUGCUUUGGUGAUGGAGAUCAAGAAGCACGUGAUGAUGGCCAUAUCAUGUCACUUAUGAAUUGCAUGUGAUGUUAAUCCUUUUAUGCACGAACGACGGUAGCAUUAUGAGGUGAUCUCUCACUAAAAUUUCAAGACGNNNNNNNNNNAUGCACCUUAUCUUUCUUAGAACGACGGUAGCAUUAUGAGGUGAUCUCUCACUAAAAUUUCAAGACGAAAUUGUGUUCUCCCCGACUGUGGAGCGUUGCGACAGUUCUUCGUUUCGAGACACCACGUGAUGAUCGGGUGUGAUAGACUCAACGUUCNNNNNNNNNNCACCGUUGCUAUAGUUCGUCGUUUCGAGACACCACGUGAUGAUCGGGUGUGAUAGACUCAACGUUCACAUACAACGGGUGCAAAACAAUUGCACACGCAGAACACUCGGGUUAAGCUUGACGAGCCUAGCAUGUGCAGACAUGGCCUCGGAACACAUGAGACCGAAAGGUCGAUCAUGAAUCAUAUAGAUGAUAUGAUUAGCAUAGGGAUGCUUACCACUGAAACUAUACUCAACUCACAUGAUGAUCGGACUUGAGCUAGUGUAAGUGGAUCAUGAACCACUCAAAUGACUAGAGAGUUGUACUUUUUGAGUGGGAGUUUAGCGUAUAAUUUGAUUAAGUUAAACUCUAAUUAUCUUGAACAUAGUCUAAGUCCACUUUGAAUAUAUUUGUGUUGUAGAUCAUGGCUCACGCGACAGUCAUCCUGAAUUUUAAUACGUUCCUAGAGAAAGCUAAGUUGAAAGAUGAUGGAAGCAACUUUGUAGAUUGGGCUCGUAAUCUUAAGCUAAUCUUACAAGCUGGGAAGAAGGAUUAUGUCCUUAAUGCUGUGUUAGGAGAUGAACCACCCGCUACGGCUGAUCAGGAUGUUAAGAACGCUUGGUUAGCACGUAAGGAGGACUACUCAAUAGUUCAAUGCGCAGUCUUGUAUGGCUUAGGACCGGAACUUCAACGUCGCUUUGAGCGUCAUGGAGCAUUUGAGAUGUUCCAGGANNNNNNNNNNNNNNNUGCAGUCUUGUAUGGCUUAGAACCGGGACUUCAACGUCGCUUUGAGCGUCAUGGAGCAUUUGAGAUGUUCCAGGAGUUGGAGUUUAUCUUUCAGAAGAACGCCCGGAUCGAGAGGUAUGAGACCUCCGAUAAAUUCUAUGCUUGCAAGAUGGAGGAAAACUCAUCUGUUAGUGAACAUGUGCUCAAAAUGUCUGGGUACUCAAACCGUCUGGCUGAGCUGGGGAUUGAACUCCCGCAAGAAGCUAUCACUGACAGAAUCNNNNNNNNNNCGCUAGGAGAUGAACCACCCGCUACGGCUGAUCAGGAUGUUAAGAACGUUUGGUUAGCACGUAAGGAGGACUACUCAGUAGUUCAAUGUGCAGUCUUGUAUGGCUUAGAACCGAGACUUCAACGUCGCUUUGAGCGUCAUGGAGCAUUAGAGAUGUUCCAGGAGUUGAAGUUUAUCUUUCAGAAGAACGCCCGGAUCGAGAGGUAUGAGACCUCUGAUAAAUUCUAUGCUUGCAAGAUGGAGGAGAACUCGUCUAUCAGUGAACAUGUGCUCAAAAUGUCUGGGUACUCAAACCGUCUAGCUGAGCUGGGGAUUGAACUCCCGCAAGAAGCUAUCACUGACAGAAUCCUUCAAUCACUGCCGCCAAGCUAUAAAGGCUUUGUGUUGAACUACAACAUGCAAGGGAUGAACAAGUCUCCCGGCGAGUUGUUUGCGAUGCUGAAAGUCGCAGAGUCUGAACUCCGUANNNNNNNNNNGGCUAUCACUGACAGAAUCCUUCAAUCACUGCCGCCAAGCUAAAAAGGCUUUGUGUUGAACUACAACAUGCAAGGGAUGAACAAGUCACCGGCGAGUUGUUUGCGAUGCUGAAAGUCGCAGAGUCUGAACUCCGUAAAGAGCAUCAAGUGUUGAUGGUGAAUAAGACCACUAGUUUCAAGAGAAACGGCAAAGGCAAGAAGGGCAAUUCGAAGAAGAGCGGCAAGCCUGUUGCCAAUCCGACAAAGAAACCCAAAGCUGGGCCUAAGCCGGAAACGGAGUGUUACUAUUGCAAGGGUAUGGGUCACUGGAAGCGCAAUUGCCCCAAGUAUCUGGCAGAUAAGAAGGCGGGCAAAGAAAAAUCAGGUAUAUUUGAUAUACAUGUUAUUGAUGUGUACUUAACCGGCUCUCGUAGUAGUNNNNNNNNNNUAAUUCAAAGAAGAGCGGCAAGCUUGUUGCCAAUCCGACGAAGAAACCCAAAGCUGGACCUAAGCCUGAAACAGAGUGUUACUAUUGCAAGGGUAUGGGUCACUGGAAGCGCAAUUACCCCAAGUAUCUGGCAGAUAAGAAGGCGGCCAAAGAAAAAUCAGGUAUUUUUGAUAUACAUGUUAUUGAUGUGUACUUAACCGGCUCUCGUAGUAGUGCCUGGGUAUUCGAUACCGGUUCUGUUGCUCAUAUUUGCAACUCGAAACAGGAACUGCGGAAUAGGCGAAGGCUGGCGAAAGAUGAAGUGACGAUGCGCGUACGAAAUGGUUCCAAGGUUGAUGCAAUCGCCGUCGGCACAGUGUCACUUCAGUUACCGUCAGGAUUAGUGAUGAACUUAAAUCAUUGUUAUUUAGUGCCUGCGUUGAGCAUGAACAUUAUAUCUGGAUCUUGUUUAUUGCGAGACGGNNNNNNNNNNACGAAGGUUGGCGAAAGAUGAAGUGACGAUACGCGUAGGAAAUGGUUCCAAGGUUGAUGCAAUCGCCGUCGGCACAGUUUCACUUCAGUUACCAUCAAGAUUAGUUAUGAACUUGAAUCAUUGUUAUUUAGUGCGUGCGUUGAGCAUGAACAUUAUAUCUGGAUCUUGUUUAUUGCGAGACGGUUACUCUUUUAAGUCAGAGAAUAAUGGUUGUUCUAUUUCUAUGAGUAACAUCUUUUAUGGUCAUGCACCUAAUGUGAGAGGAUUGUUCAUAUUGAAUCUUGAUAGCGNNNNNNNNNNNNNNNNNNNNNNNNNNNNNNNNNNNNNNNNNNNNNNNNNNNNNNNNNNNNNNNNNNNNNNNNNNNNNNNNNNNNNNNNNNNNNNNNNNNNACACGUACAGCUCGACGAUGAUCGGCCUUCUUGAUCCAGCAAGAGAGACGGAGAGGUAGAAGAGUUCUUUGGCAGCGUGACGGCGCUCCGAAGGUUGGUGAUGACCUUGUCUCAGCAGGGCUCCGCCCGAGCUCCGCAAAAACGCGAUCUAGAGGAAAAACCGUGGAGGUAUGUGGUCGGGCUGCCGUGGGAAAAUCGUCUCAAAUCAGCCCUAAAACCUCCGUAUAUAUAGGUGGGAGGGAGGGGACCUUGCCUUGGGGCUCAAGGAGCCCCAAGGGGGUCGGCCGAGUCCAAGGGGGGAGGACUCCCCCCCCCAAACCGAGUUGGACUUGGUUUGGUGGGAGGGAGUCCCCCUUCCUUCCCACCUCCUCCUUUUUUUUUCUUUUCUCUUGAUUUUCUCUUCUUGGCGCAUAGAGCCCUUUUUGGGCUGUUCCACCAGCCCACUAAGGGCUGGUGUGCCACCCUCAAGGCCUAUGGGCUNNNNNNNNNNCUUUUCUCUCUUGAUUCUCUCUCCUUGGCGCAUAGAGCCCUUUUGGGCUGUCCCACCAGCCCACUAAGGGCUGGUGUGCCACCCUCAAGGCCUAUGGGCUUCCCCGGGGUGGGUUGCCCCCCCGGUGAACUCCCGGAACCCAUUCGUCAUUCCCGGUACAUUCCCGGUAACUCCGAAAACCUUCCGGUAAUCAAAUGAGGUCAUCCUAUAUAUCAAUCUUCGUUUCCGGACUAUUUCGGAAACCCUCGUGACGUCCGUGAUCUCAUCCAGGACUCCGAACAACAUUCGGUAUGUUACUUGCCCGAGAUUCGAUCGUCAGUAUCCGUAUACCUAUUUCAAUCUCGUUUACCGGUAAGUCUCUUUACUCAUUCCGUAAUACAAGAUCCCGCAACUUACACUAAGUUACAUUGCUUGCAAGGCUUGUGUGUGAUGUUGUAUUACCGAGUGGGCUCNNNNNNNNNNUCGAGAACUAUGUAGACAUGACCCGAGAGACUCCUCGGUCAAUAUCCAAUAGCGGGACCUGGAUGCCCAUAUUGGAUCCUACAUAUUCUACGAAGAUCUUAUCGUUUGAACCUCAGUGCCAAGGAUUCAUAUAAUCCCGUAUGUCAUUCCCUUUGUCCUUCGGUAUGUUACUUGCCCGAUAUUCGAUCGUCAGUAUCCGCAUACCUAUUUCAAUCUCGUUUACCGGCAAGUCUCUUUACUCGUUCCGUAAUACAAGAUCCCGCAACUUACACUAAGUCACAUUGCUUGCAAGGCUUGUGUGUGAUGUGUAUUAUCGAGUGGGCCCCGAGAUACCUCUCCGUCAUACGGAGUGACAAAUCCCAGUCUCGAUCCAUACUAACUCAACGAACACCUUCGGAUAUACCUGUAGAGCAUCUUUAUAGUCACCCAGUUACGUUGCGACGUUUGAUACACACAAAGCAUUCCUCCGGUGUCAGUGAGUUAUAUGAUCUCAUGGUCAUAGGAAUAAAUACUUGACACGCAGAAAACAGUAGCAACAAAAUGACACGAUCAACAUGCUACGUCUAUUAGUUUGGGUCUAGUCCAUCACAUGAUUCUCCUAAUGAUGUGAUCCCGUUAUCAAGUGACAACACUUGCCUAUGGCCAGGAAACCUUGACCAUCUUUGAUCAACGAGCUAGUGAACUAGAGGCUUACUAGGGACAGUGUUUUGUCUAUGUAUCCACACAAGUAUUGUGUUUCCAAUCAAUACAAUUAUAGCAUGGAUAAUAAACGAUUAUCAUGAACUAAGAAAUAUAAUAAUAACUAAUUUAUUAUUGCCUCUANNNNNNNNNNNNNNNNNNNNNNNNNNNNNNNNNNNNNNNNNNNNNNNNNNNNNNNNNNNNNNNNNNNNNNNNNNNNNNNNNNNNNNNNNNNNNNNNNNNNACGUCACAACGUAACUGGGUGACUAUAAAGGUGCACUACGGGUACCUCUGAAAGUAUCUGUUGGGUUGGUACGAAUCGAGAUCGGGAUUUGUCACUCCGUGUGANNNNNNNNNNNNNNNNNNNNNNNNNNNNNNNNNNNNNNNNNNNNNNNNNNNNNNNNNNNNNNNNNNNNNNNNNNNNNNNNNNNNNNNNNNNNNNNNNNNNNNNNNNNNNNNNNNNNNNNNNNNNNNNNNNNNNNNNNNNNNNNNNNNNNNNNNNNNNNNNNNNNNNNNNNNNNNNNNNNNNNNNNNNNNNNNNNNNNNNNNNNGACAGACAAAGGGAGUCGUGUACGGGAUUGAUUGAAUCCUUGACAUCGUGGUUCAUCCGAUGAGAUCAUCGUGGAGCAAGUGGGAGGCACCAUGGGUAUCCAGACCCCGCUGAUGGUUAUUGGCCAGAGAGGUGUCUCGGUCAUGUCUGCCUUCUCCCGAACCCGUAGGGUCUACACACUUAAGGUUCGAUGACGCUAGGGUUAUAGGGAAUUGUUAUACGAGGUUACCGAAAGUUAUUUGGAGUCCCGGAUGAGAUCCCGGACGUCACGAGGAGCUCCGGAAUGGUCCGGAGGUAAAGAUUGAUAUAUAGGACGGAUGGNNNNNNNNNNGUCUCCCGAACCCUUAGGGUCUACACACUUAAGGUUCGAUGACGCUAGGGUUAUAGGGAAUUGUUAUACGAGGUUACCGAAAGUUGUUCGGAGUCCCGGAUGAGAUCCCGGACGUCACGAAGAGCUCCAGAAUGGUCCGGAGGUAAAUAUUGAUAUAUAGGACACAUGGUUUCGGAUACCGGAAGUGUUUCGGGCAUCACCGGUAACGUACCGGGACCACCGGAGGUGGCCCCGGGGGACCACCGAAGGGGGGCAACAACCCCAGGAGAUAAGGUGGGCCAAGUGGGGGUGGGAACCAGCCCCUAGGUGGGCUGGUGCGCCUCCCCACNNNNNNNNNNGACCAGCGGAGGUGGCCCCGGGGGACCAUCGAAGGGGGGCAACGACCCCGGGAGAUAAGGUGGGCUAAGUGGGGGUGGGAACCAGCCCCUAGGUGGGCUGGUGCGCCUCCCCACUCAGCCCAUAGCGCAAGGGAGAGAAAAGGGGGGGCAAACCCUAGGCUAGGUGGGCCUAAGGCCCACCAGAUGGUGCGCCACCCCCUCCUCCCCCUUCUGGCCGCCGCACCUCCCAUCUGGAGNNNNNNNNNNNNNNNNNNNNNNNNNNNNNNNNNNNNNNNNNNNNNNNNNNNNNNNNNNNNNNNNNNNNNNNNNNNNNNNNCUAGGGGUGGCACUCCCUCUCCCCUCCCCCUAUAUAUAUCGGGCACUUUUGGCCAUUGAGACACACGGUAUUUCCCUCUCUCUCGGCGCAGCCCUGCUCUUCUUCCUCCUCCUCUGUGCCGGUGCUUGGCGAAGCCUUGCCGGGAGACCUCGUCUCUCCAUCGACACCACGCCGUCGUGUUGCUGGAGUUCUUCCCCAANNNNNNNNNNNNNNNNNNNNNNNNNNNNNNNNNNNNNNNNNNNNNNNNNNNNNNNNNNNNNNNNNNNNNNNNNNNNNNNNNNNNNNNNNNNNNNNNNNNNAACGCGAAUGGCCAAGGCGGUGGUGGUGGCGCUGGGGGGAGCGAUGGCAAUGGCAGCGGCUCCGGCUCCGGCGAUGGAAGCGGGUCAGGGAUAGGUGAGAACUAUGCACCGUAUGGUUCGAGCUACGCGAGCAGCGGAGGGGGCGGGGGUGGCGACGGCGGCGGCCGCAANNN